rnacentral:lncRNA from 1 species
GGAAGGCUGCUAGAGUGAGGUGGUGUCCUCCUUCUUCUCCUUUUGUUAAGAUCAAUGUGGACGCUAGCUGGUCUAAAUGUUCUCAGAUGGGUUUUGCGGGGUGGUGGCUAGACAGGAAGGUGGGCUUUUUCAGGCUGCGGUUAGGUCCUCUCUUUUGGCUCAUUCUUCUUUAGUGGCUGAGUCUAUUGCGAUUCUUCGUGGAUGUGAAUUGGGUGCCUCGUUGGGUUUCAGCUCUGUUAUCAUUGAAUCUGACUCUCUUCAGGCUAUUUCUUGUUUAAAUGUGUCUCUUGAAAAUGGCAGCUGGGAGGCUUUCCCCAUUUUGGCUAGGGCUCAAAGGUUAGGUUUGGCUUUCCAGAACUGUUGCUGGUCUUGGGUGCCAAGAUCAGCCAAUAUGGCAGCCGAUGUUCUUGCGUUAGCUGGUAUUACAGAUAUGUGUGAUUUUGUGUGGGUUGAUAGACCCCCAUCUUCGUUAGUUCAUGUUUUAUGCAGUGAUGGUCUUCCUUGUCCUCAUUAGUCAUUUGUGGUGGGUUUUGGGUGACACUUUUACUUAGUGCAAGUGUCUGUGGUUUGUAUCCCCGCUCACUGCUUUGCUUUGUGUUUAGCUUCGUUGUGUUUGCCUCGGCGUAGGCUUUCUUGCUUCUGUUUGGCUUCUUAGCCUUGGGUUGUUCAAAAAAAAAAAGUGUUCAGGUUUUUGUCAUCUUAGUUUUGAUUCUUAAAUGUGUGACCAAGGCUUGCAGUCUUGUAUCCCUGUAGCCGGAUUAGGGCAUAGGAUCAAAAAUUUAAAAUGUUUAGUUAAAUAUUUUAUUAAUGUUUUUAGAGUGGAAUACUAUGCAUAAACAGAAAAGGUAUUGAUGAAUAUUUAAACUCACCUAAAUAAUAGAUGAAUUUAAACCAAAUUAAACUCGCAAGCGGACGAAUCAAUUGUAGUAAUAUAUGUAAAUACGAGGUCGAUCCCACAAGGAUUGCUUUAAUACCAAUUUAACCGAUUAAUCACACUAGACUUAAUUAAACAAACAAAGGAUAGAUUGAAUUGAAUAAUUGAUUAAGACUAUAAUUAACAAGAAAAAGGAAAGACAAUUAAUUAAAAUAAACACACGACACAAGAAGAAAUUAAGAAAAUAUGGAAGUCUAAGGUUAUGAAUCCACCACCAACAAUCCUAUUUACUUUUCCUAGAGCCAACUACUAUUCAAUUACCAUGCCAAUGUUAAAGGUUGUUCUUUCUAAGGUAUGAAUUAAUCCGUGGUCAGGCAUCAACUCUUGUAUCUCUACAUGAUAAUUAUAUCCUAUUGGUUAGACAUACAAUUAAACACAUAAAAAUCCAUUAAGCAUAGAAGAAUCAUGUCAACCAAGUAGGACUAGCUUGAUAUUGGUCAUCCUCACUAAUUUGUCUACUCUUCUUAAUCUUAGUUCCAAUAAACCUAAUUGAUUGGUCAUCCUCAUAGAUUUAUCUAAAUAUCUAGAUGCAAAAUUCCUAAAGGUGAUCAGUCAUUAGAAAUCCGAAUCUAGAAUAAAAUACCCACAAAGAUUAAGAAUAUAACAUGGCAUAUAAUCAGAUAAUAAUUAACAAAUUACUUCGCAAAUAUUCAUGUCAUGGCUUCAUCAUAAACCUUAGAAAAUAACUUAGUUACACAUAGAAAUAACAAUAAAAGAAAGAUAUAUCCAGGAAUCUAUGGCAAAGCACGUCCCUAAACUCUUCUUCACAAAUUGUGGAGAUGGUGAAUAGUGUAGUGGUGUGUGUGAUAUGGGUUAUGCAGGGUGCGGGGGUGGAUGGAUAUCUUAGAGAGAGCUUAGGGCACCUUAUUUAUGCUAGAAAAACCCUAAAAGGUAUGGGAGAAACUCUCCUAAAUAAAACAAACUCCUAAACAAUUAAUGACACAAAUUAGGAAAGAAUCCUUCUUGACUUGGGAAACAUGUCAUCUGUCUUGCACGCCAAUUUUUGGGGUCGAUUUAUCUUUUGGAAAAUUCUAUAAAAAUAUGGGAAACGUAGCUUUAUCUCUUAUCUUUACAGGCAUAUAUCGCAUGCCACUAGAAAAAAUGAGGAAAGCCUCCAAAUCCUCAUUUUCCCACAGCUGCACAGUUCUGAAGGAAAAUAACUUCUGCGGGAUUGAUUUGUGAAACUGGAAUGAAUGACUCCAUGGAAAUUAUGAAAUUCGAACACAACGAUCUUCAGCCUCUUAGUUUCCUUGUCCAAUUGGCUUUUGCAUCAAAACUUCUCCGGAAAGUCGAAUUAUCACCAAAAACGUUCUAAGUGUGCAGAAUGGCUCUUUUGUAAUCAAUUCCUUAACAAAACUUGGGGAUAAUUAACAUGAAAAUAUGAUAAAUAAUGCACCUAUCAGGUAUCAGGAUGACAGCAAUAUUAGGUUAAUUGGUGUAGAGGUUUAGUGAAAGAUGAUUGUUGUUUUCGGUAUUAGUGAAAGAGCCAACUGGAUUGGUUGAACUGGUCACUUGUAUUACCCUUGGUUAGAUGACAUUCAGUUCAUCAGUAUGUUUUCCAAGUUUUCUCUAUAUGGGGUCUUCUAUAGUGUGCUUGUCAAGUUUUUUUGAGUAGACAUAUGAGUAGACAUAUGAGCAGAUGGUCAAAGAUAUUGUGCCCCCACAUAUCUGGUUGCUUUCAUAAGUGUUCAUGUAAUCGUAAAAGCUCAAAAUUCUGAAAAGAAAAAAAAAGAAGACAACUUUGAUGACCAUAUCCAUAUAUAUUAUGUAAUUGCGCAGAGUAAUCGUUGUGUAAGAACUGCAGGGUAGUAGAAAAAAGGAGAAGACCGGAACGCCACUUGUUGACCUGGCUUAUCAACGGGCAAAAGCCGUGAAGGCUGCAAAGAAGGCAACGGAUGGAGGCAAGAUUGUGAGGAAGAGUAGCAAGAAAUCUAGUCGUCCUCCGCAGAAUACUCAGUCAAGGACAGAGGAGAUGCAGGACGUGUUCCAGAGUGACAUGAGUCAAAGGAGGCAGAACAGAAAAAGUAGUGGAGUCAGGAAAUAAAAAGUCCAGGAAUUCUUUUAAGAGCAAGUCGAGGUAUGAAGCACCUGAGUUUUUAUUAAGGAAAAAUUAGUAUCCGGUCCCUAGUUUUUAUUGUUCAUUGACUAAGACCUUAUUAGUUCUUAAAUUUUGAUUCAAGUCCCUAUCAUUAAUGUGAUAAUGAAUUUACAUGUUUAUUAUAUAAUUUUUAAUAUAAUAAUUAGUAAUUAAUUUAGGAUUUAAUACUUACACCUCUAUUAAACUUCUAAUUAAUUUUCAAUUCAAACAUUUCUAAAAUAAUAAAAAAUUAAAUUAAAUUAAGUUUGUACCUAUUAGUUUUUUUUUAUAUAUAAAAAGAUUCUCAAUUUUUUAAUCUUAAACGUACCCAUUCAUAUAAUUUUUCAAUUUUUUAAAUCUUAAAUGUACCCAUUCUCAAAUAUAUCAAUUUGUUAUAUGUAAAAUGUACCUUUUUUUUAAUAUAAAAUCCAUUCAAAUUUUUUAAUCCAUGUUUAAAUUUAUAUGGGUACAUUCUUUUUCGUUGAUUUGAGAAUGUAUCCAUGUUUUGGUACAAUACAUUUUUUUGUUAAUUUGGUUAAUGUACCCAUACAUAUAUGUAUACACACACAAUAUAAUAGAGAGUAUAAUUUAUAUUUUAUUAUUUUUAAUCCCAUGAAUUAUGGGUUUUAUUUAAAAUCUCAUUAAUAUAAACAAUUACAAAUUACAAAUUUCAAUUUUAAUUUUUAAUUUAAAAAUAUAGUAACUUAUAUUAUUAUAUGAAUGUCAGGGACCUCAAUCAAAAACUAAAAAGUAACAAGGUUUCAAUCAAAGAAUAUUGAUAGCUAAGGACCGCAUCCAAAGUGUCCAUUUUAUUAAUCCUCCCUUCCGUUUUGAUUUGCAUCUUAUUAAGCAUUUUUGUGCUGUACAUAGACUUUAUGUUACGGAUUCAAUCAAAAUUUUUAAUGCGCACGUAUCAGCUCACAAGAGGUCCUUGAGAAAUAUAUCUAUAGUUUAGUCACCCCAAAUUUUUAAAAUUAACGAACUUGUAGACUGUUUUUAUAAGAUGCUUCAAUGCAAAGGUGGCUUUGUUGGAUGUGAGAACAUCGGCACAGGUAAGGAGACCUCGUCCACACCCUAGCACUACCCCUUAUACACACAAAUUUCCUUUUUACAACUGACCUCGAGAUUUGAGGCUUUGAGCGGAUCCCUUUGGCUGAGAUUCUGUUGAGGAUUGUGGUUAGUGAUGGGCAAAUACCCAUUGGUUAUGGGUAACCGCGGUUACCCGUUCAUUUAAAUUAAACAAUUACGGUUAUGGGUAACCGUUUAGAUAAAUAAACGGUUAUGGGUAUAACUGUUUGCCCGUGAAAUUUAAAUGGGCGGUUAUGGGUAUUAACCGCGGUUAUAAACGGGUAACCGUUUAUCUCUUUAUUUUAUAUAUGUAAAACUAACACAAACCAUGUUCUCAAUCCAAUAAUACUUAGCACCCAAUAAAUUAGCAAGGAAUUCAUAGGUUUUUUUCUCAAUAACACUGCUACAGGAAUGGUGAUUCUCAUCAUCAAGGAAUUCGCCAAAUUAAUAUAAAUUCCUUGCGGGUAACCGUGAAAUUGACAUAAAUGCUUUGACAGAAAUGUCUUCUAAACAAUUUUUGUAACCCAAUAAUACUUGGCAAAUAUUAUAUUUACCUUCAUUGGUAACAGUUAAAAAUAUGUCCGUAAACUAUUAUUUCAAUUAUUGGAAUGGUAUAAGAACUUAAAAAAUUAAAAUACGGAAAUGUAUGAUGAAUGUACUUAUAACGGUGUUUAAUUGUCAAAAAAAAAAUUAUGACAAUUUUUAAAAAAAUUUCAAGUUGUUAAAAAGCAUGUAGACGGGUGAAAAAAAGGGUAAUUGUGAAAAAAAGAAGAUAAACGGGUUAAAAAGGGACAAUGGGUAAACAUGUAUUAAACGGUUACGGUUAAAUAGGUAUGCGGUUAUGGGUAUGGUUAACCAUUUAUAAACGGUUAUGGGUAUAUGUAUAAUCGUUUAGCAAUUACUCAACGGGUAAACGGUUAUGGGUAAAUAAUCGUAGUUACCCGUCCGCCAUAACCGUUGCUCAUCCCUAAUUGUGUUAUAAUUCAUUUGAUCAUGUUUAAAACAAAGCAAAGCACUCGAAACACACUAAGAAAUGUAUCCUAGUCGGGGAAAAACCUGAAAAAUGAAAAUAAUUACUAGAUAAAUUUUCAAUUUUUGUAUAGUUAUUAACGGCUCAAAAUGUUUUCUUUGUAAAAAUGAUAUUUACGUUAAACUAAUCUAAACUGUGUGGAAAAAGAGACUCAAACUCUCAGGUGCAUAAGAAAGCACAUCCCUGCUAGACGAGAAUAAAGACCCCAAAAAAUGAGUAGUAGUUCCGAAUUAGAAUAUGGUUGUUGGAGCUUAAAUUUAUUCAUUGGGGUCUAAAGUCAAAUUAUGAUUUUGUAAGAAAUUAUUGGCAUAUCAUUUGUAUUAAAUUAAGCAAAAAUUAUGACAAAAUCCAUUGGUGAUCACGAACCCUGCACACGCUUUUGACAUUGAAGAAAAGAGACGAAAACACUCAAACAGCAUAAGUUUUCUUCAACUUGCUUGGCAUGGUGGAUCUUUGUAUUUCUCGGACGUUGAUUAAUUUAUAAAACUUGGUAAAAGGGCAAGCAGGCUGAUAGCGAAGCUCAUGACUUGAUUGCAUCAUAUGAUAGACUUCGUUGAAUCGUUUUCCCCUGCACUUCACUUCACUCUAUACAACAAAAACAAUCAAUUCUCUCAUUUCUUUCUCAAAUUAGCCUCUCAAUUCCAAAAGCCAACAAAAGCCUCCCUCCCAGGGGAAGAAAAUUUUCAUUGUGACCGGAAUACGGAUGGUAAACCAUGUGUUUUUAUAUAAGUUGUGAUAAAUUUUAUUUUUUAAGUUAUUAACUUUUUAAUACACAUAUCACACCAUUUAUAUAUUGAUACGUGAUAUACCAUCCUGUGUUUCGAUCACACUAUUACCCCCAAGAAAAGAAGACGACAGCUUCCUCUUUAUGCUUCUCCCUCUUGUAGUAAUUUUGUCAUAUUAGACUGAAUCUCUCUCUCUCUCUCUCUCUCUCUCUCUCUCUCUCUCUCUUUUAUUAACAUUGUUAUUUCAAUACAGAACACUAAAGCAAAAUCUCUCUCUCUUUCUCUCUCUCUUUUAUUAAUAUUGUUAUUUCAAUACAGAACACUAAAGCAAUUUUUAAUUCGAAUAAGAUAUGCGAAUUAAAUUGACUAAUACAUCAUCAAUCAAUAAAUAAUAACAGAUUUCACCAAAUGCAGGAUGUAGUACACUUUCACAUAAUUGGUACAUUCUUCCAUCCUCAAAUAGUGGUAAUACUCACUAUUCUAUUUAGGAUCGUUGAAUGAGCGGUUAGCAUCACCAUCACUUGAUGAUGAUGAGAAAAAAAUAUUUCUUUUACAUAACACAAAAAAUGCAUUAUUAUAUUGAUCGAUGGAGACCCAUAUCAUCACCAUCAAUCGGCAAUUGUCACAGUAAGAACUACAACAUUGCUAUUAAAACACUGAGUAUUUACUAUUUCGAGUGUUUUAAUCGUUAUACUUUUGUUUAAACAUAUAAAUACUAAGAUUUAGCAGUUAAAACACCUAGUGUACCAAAGUAUUUCAAUAAUUUUUGAACAAUUUUUUUUUUUUGCACAUAGAAUUUUUGUUUUGUACCAAAGUGUACCAAAGCAGAAUUUUUUGUUUUGUACCAAAGUGUACCAAAGCAGACUCUAGUACUAAAAGAAUUUUUUUAACAAUUGAGUAUACUCAACAAUAUAGUUGACUUUUGGGGGCCCUUGUCACCGUAUUGGGUAAGUGAGCCAACAAUAAGUUAAUACCAAAGUCGCCAAGUAUGACUCUACAAAUUUUCAUUUCGAAGUAGAUAUCCACAAGUUAACCUAUAUGCCAAGACAAAAAAAUUAUUAUUAAUUUAAAUCAUUUUUUUUUGUUGGUACCAAAGUCGCCAGGUUUGAGUCUAAAUUAUUAUUAACUUUUUAACAUACAUAUUCCCCCAUUUGUAUAGUGACACGUGAUGUACCACUCUAUAUUUCGGUCACAAUAUUACCCCAAGAAAAGAAGACGAUAGCUUCCUUUUUAUGCUUCUCCCUCUUGUAGUAAUUUUGUCGUAUUAGUCUAAAUCUCCCCCUCUCUCUUUUAUUAAUAUUGUUAUUUCAAUACAAAACAUUUAAGCAAUUUUUCUUUCUCAUAAAAGAAUUUAUGAGUACGAGAGAAUAAGAUAUGCGAAUUAUAUAUGAUAAGUUUCUUGAAUGAGUGACUAUAUCUUUUGAGCUGAUAUGUAAGUUUGUAAUUAAACUGACUAAUACAUCAUCAAUCAAUAAAUAAUAAUGGAUUUCUCCAAAUGCAGGAUCUAACACACUUUCACAUAACGGGUACAUUCUUCCAUCCUCAAAUAGUGGUAAUACUCACUACUCUAUUUAGGAUCGUUGAAUGAGCGGUUAGCAUCACCAACACUUGAUGAUGAUGAGCAAAAAUAUUUCUUUUACAUAACAUAGAAAAUGCAUUAUUAUAUUGAUUGAUGGAGACCCAUAUCAUCACCAUCAAUCGGCCAUUGUCACAGUAAGAACUACAACAUUGCUGUUAAAACACUAAAUAUUUACUAUUUCGAGUGUUUUAAUCAUUAUACUUUUGUUUAAACAUAUAAAUAUUAAGAUUUAGCAGUUAAAACACCUAGUGUACCAAAGUAUUCCAAUAAUUUUUGAACAAUUUCUUUUUUUUGGGACGUAGAAUUUUUAUUUUUGUGGAUAUCUACUAAAAUAAUUUUUGAACAAUGGAGUAUACUCAACAAUAUAGUUGACUUUUGGGGGCCCUUGUCACCAUAUUGGGUUAAGUGGGUCAACAAUAAGUUAAUACCAAAGUCGCCAAGUAUGACUCUACAAAUUUUCAUUUCGAAGUCAAUAUCCACAAGUUAACCUAUAUGCCAAGACAAAAAAAUUAUUAUUAAUUUAAAUCAAUUUUUUUUUGUUGGUACGAAAGUUGCCAAGUUUGAGUCUAAUUUUUUUUAAAAAAAAAAAAAAAGGGGAUAACUAGUGGCAAGCCACAAUUAUCCACUCAUUCUGGAGGCUGAGAAGACUCACAGAUGCAUUUCAGCCUUCCAAUUUUUCACUUACAAGUAAAUGAUCAUAAGUUUUUAUUUUUUAUUUUUUUACAAGCAAUUUUUUUUUUUGAGAACAAACAAUAUUAUUUACAUUAAGGGGAGGAGGUGAGCUUAGCUUCACAAUAGGCUAGCAAUAAUAUGGUUCAAAUUCGCCUUUGGCAAAACCUAAGACUUCUCACUUACAAGUGAAAAGGAAUAUCAUUAGAUUAAUAAGCGAUAUUAUCUACACUAAAAUGUCCAUAAUGUUAUAAACUUCUAGUUUAAGUGUGAUUGUGUAAGUCUUAGAUUAGAUUUGAUUCUAGUUAUUCUUUCCUAUAUGAACUUGUAUUCCUUGGAGGAGAAGGAUUUCUUCUAUAUCUUAUUACUAUAAAUAAAGGCACUACGUAGGGGGAAUAACACAUUCUCUACACAUUCUUCUACACAACCCUACAAACAUAUCUUUUUCUCUCCAAUCUCUUUCUUUGCCGCCGGCCCCUUUCCCUUGUCAGAUAAAAUAGGCUACAAAACGUUAUCAGCACGCUCCUAGCUGCGCUUAAGAAUCUAACAUGGAAGUUUUCUGCAUCAAACCAGUUCAUCAAUAUCAUCACGUAAUCAGACUCUUCCAAAACAACUAUUUUUAUCUCGAUAUUUUUGCAGCCCUGAUAGCAUAAACAUUCACCGUAAUACAUGUAAUGGCUCGUCCCAAAAUAUUCCAGUUUUUAUAAAUUUUAACGCGUGAAUUUACGAAAAUACCUUUCGAGGCAAAAAUGUUGACUUUUGUUGACCGCCUUGCCGUGUCACGUAAGAUUCAUUUCCUUGGUGUAUCCUUGAAAUACUCGACGUUGCGGACACAUGGGCACAAACAGAAUUGAAAUUGGAGUUACAAUGAAUAUUUUACGGAAUUCGUAUCUAUGCAUUGUCCCCCUCACCCCAGCUCUCAUCUCUUCCUCUCUGUACAACCAAGACCACCACCUUAACUCCCAGUUCUCUCUCUCACUUUAACUCUCUCAAACUCUCUCAGCUACCCCUUUAUCUCUCUCCUCAUUUCUCUCCCUCUCAUCUCUGUAACUUUCCCCACCGAGACACCACCACAACACCUUCGUUAUAUAGGCGAACCCCAGAUCAUCACACCACUAGACUACCAUCAUCUCACCCCUAUGAACCUAACUCCAAGUUUAGGUUACUGGAAUCGUGCCUUGGAGCUUAAACAUAGCUCUGUUUUAUAAUUGAAUUUCCGACAAGUUUCCAUGAAUUCGACCAAGGUAAGUGUUAGGAACUCACUCUACUUACCUUUCUCAUUGUCAGUGAAUGAUCUCAAGGUUUGGACGCAUUUUGAUAGGGUUAAAAUUUGUGGGACGAAGGGAGAACUUCCCUAGAAUUCCAGGAAACCAAAGAUCCGUGGCCAUUCGGCCUCUUUCAGAUCCAUUUUCCGGCUAACGUUGAUGUUGACUUGACCCCCAAUAAGUAUAGUCUUGUUCUCUACAUUUCUAACUUCAAAAUGGCUUUUGAAUCAUUAAAUUUGGUUAAGUAUCGAACUAGAAAUUAGCUCUGAAAGUUAGGAAGAAAAUAUGAAAUUUCUGGCCUCGCGACGAAUGCGAGUAGACCUGUACUUGCGGGCGCGUAGAGCACACGCGCCUCCGUUGAAGAUACUGUGCUCCGCCACCGUCCAUAUCGAUGUAGAUGACUUUUUCGGUGACCCAUCUCAGCUCGUGGCCUCCUAGGCUGCCGCCUCAUGGCGGUGCAUAGGGGAACUCAAGGUCCCUCUUUAGGUUUUUCAACGUGCUGAAUUCUAAUCCACUGUUCUUUUUUCUAAAUUCUAUCGUUUUAGUAGGGUUUUAUUAAAUGGCCUCUAUUUGUGUUUAGGUGCGUCGGUGGGAAGUGACACUGUUCUCCCUAGUUCGAGCAACUCCCCGACAAUGGAAUAGUAUGAAUGGACCCUUUCUUAACUUGCAUGUUUUUAUAAAAUAUUAGGCUUGCAUUCACGAAAAGCAUGAUUUCAUGAUUUUACGUUUUAUACAUUAGUUAUGAUUUACCGAAAUUACGUUUUCCGAAAAGUUAUGAAUUAUUGGAUUUUUGUAUAUGAAAUUCUACGGAUUUAUGAAUAUGUUUUAUCAUGGAUUUAUGAGAUGAUGCUUUGAGCUUUUGAGCUCCAGUGAUUUGAUAUGAGAUUUUGAGAUAUGUUUUCGGUGCUUAUCUAAUGGGUUAUCAUACACAUCCAUAACACGGGUAUGUAGACAUUUAUGGCCAUAAGACACAGUUGAGGAUAUUUAUGCCAUACCCCCAGCUUCACUGGCGAAACCAGUGUCGGACAGUUUCACUAGUCAUGGCUAGUGUCAGUGUGUGAUGUUAUAUGUAUAUAUCUCUUCUUUGGCGUAAUCUAGAGUCGUACAGCUUCACCUUUAGGUGAUGGACCAUGAUUUCUUCACUAGUGUAACCCAGUGUCAUACAACUUUACCUUCGAGUGAUGGAUUCAUUAUAUCUCUUCUCUGGAGUAAUCCAGAGUUGUACAGCUUCACAUUUGAGUGAUGGGACAUGAUUUCUUCACUGGCGUAACCCAGUGUUGUACAGCUUCACCUUCGGGUGAUGGUUAUGCCUUCAGGCCACUAUGAUACCCCUAGUUGAGUACAUAAUUGAUGCGAUUUACAGAUGUUUUCUGAAUUUUCCUUCAGGCAGCUAUACAACCAUUUUUUAGCAUUGGUUUAUGCAUUAGUAACUGCGUAUCUCUAUGAGGAUCUUGAUACGAAAAUUUAUAUGAAAGCUCCCGAAUGACUUACAUUGACUGGAUCAAAUAUUUCCAAACCCUGGAACACGCUCUCAAUUCGGCUGAGGCUUUGACUCUACGAUUUGAAGCAAUCCGGAAGAAUGUGGUAUAAUCGUCUAAUUAAGUAUUAUACUAGUCAUGGAUAUAUGAUCAACGAAUUAUGCCCUUGUGUGUUCAUUAAGAAGUCACAUUCCGAUUUUACGGUUAUUGCAGUUUAUGUCGAUAACAUGAACCUUAUUGGAACUCCUGAAGAGCUUGUGAGAACUGCCGUGCACCUGAAGUCAGAAUUUGAGAUGAAAGAUCUAGGAAAGACUCAAUACUGUCUUUGUGAAACCCCACCCUAAAAAAACAAGUGUAAUUUCACCUUGUUAUUUAACACUGAUGAGAUUACAUUUGUACCCUUGAAUUUCUACCCAAUCCGAUAACCUUUUUUAGAUUCCUUAUCUAGUUCUCCUCCUAUUUCUGCCUGCCACAUGGUAGACCAUCACCUUAUAUCUCUUUCUCUCUCUUAUUCCCCCGAGUCAACUUUCACUCUUUCACUCUCGGAUUUCUCUUAGCUUACUGUCCCUCUCCCAUUUUCGAUCGACUUACACCCACACCCGCACAUUCAACGGAACACCCCGACGACGACAACACCCCCAACUCUAUCGACUGAGCCAUCUCUCCCUCUCCCUCACCUUUGUGAAGCUUGGUAAGACCGAUAACCCAGGCCCGACGAACCCGUGGUGUUCAAGGCCGAAGUCCGGCCACCUCCGGCCAUUUCACGAAUUGAAGAUACCAAAUCUCUCCCUCUCGUCUCUAGUUCAUUUUGGUACUUAGAUUGUAGGUUAGGGUGACUAAAAUACGUCGACUAGAGCUCGUGAGGCUCCAGCCUCCGUUCUUCAUAAUAACGGGUCAGUUGACCCACACUUGGAAACCCAAAACCCUUAACUCAUCAAAUUCAGGCCCUUUAGGCUGUACCAGCUCGGGCAUUGGCUCGCUAAACCCCAAACCCAACCUAAUGACCCACAAAGCCCGAACCCAUUUAGUUAAACCCGAAAACCCAAAAGGAAUCAAGCCUUCGGGCCGUGUGGAACUUGGGCCUUUGGCCUAUGAAACUCGAGCCAACCUAAAACCCUUUUACCUUGGACCUGGCUUUCAAGCCCAUGCCCUUUAACCCAAACCCCAAGCCCGUUGACCGGCCUUUGACCCGACCCGCUAACCCAAACUCAUUAACCGUUGACUUACGAUCAACGAUGACCGUUGACGAAUCAACAUUGACUUUUUGUUGACUUUUUUUUUGGGUUUCAGUCGGGAUCCCUUCUAGGCUAAUUUCCACGUCAUGAAUCCGUUAAUGACGUUUAUUUUCCCAAAUUCAAUCGUUUGGAUAGAUUUUUAUUAAUUAGACCAUUUAUGUGCUUAGGUGCGAUUAUUAGUGACGAUUAUGUUCUUCCUAUUUCGUACGGCUUUUCGACGAUGGAGUAUCUGUGAGUGGACCCCUUCUAAAAUGCAUGUUUUAAUAGUAGAAAUACAUACAUGAAAGGUAUGAUUUAAUGGUUACUUUUUAUGAAACAUUUUAUAAGUAAAUUGGAUUUACAUUAUAUGAUUAUCAUGCUUUACUGAGAAUAUUUUGGAAUAGCAUACUUUAUCAAAAUUAUGUUCUUGGUAGUAUAUAUGAUGGAUGACUAUAUACUACUUAUGAACAUGUUUUUACACUCUUUGUAGUAUAUGAUGGAUGACUAUAUACUAUGAAGAGGUUUUGAGAUGUAAGAUUAUAUUCAAUGAUUUUGUGCUUAUCUAGUGGUCACUGUUCUGCCUACAACGAAGAAACAUAUAUUGGCUACGGCCGGGCGUUGGUAGAUGGCUACGGCUGGAAGAUACUUAUAUUGGCUUCGGUCGAGCGUUGGUAGGUGUUGUUGACGCACAAAAUCAGUGAGGACUUUGGUACAACAGAAAGUGUUAAGUUUAUGACCUUCGCUAGAUUGCUCCAGUCACUAGUGUGGAUAAGUAUGUAAAUGGAUAGAGACAGGGAAGCAAACACAAGAUGUACGUGGUUCACCUAGAUUGGUUACGUCCAUGGAGUAGAGGAGUUCUCAUUAAUUGUGAAGGGUUUACACAAGUACAUAGGUUCAAGCUCUCCUUUAGUGAGUACUAGUGAAUGAUUUAGUACAAAUGACAUUAGGAAAUAUUGUGAGAGAAUGAUCUCUAUUUAUAGAAGAGAGUUUCUAGUUUCAUUCUGACAUUGACACGUGUCAUGUUGUGAUUGGCUUCUGAUGUUGACACGUGUCGCACUAUGAUUGGCUUCUGAUGUCGACACAUGUCGCGCUGUGAUUGGCCUCUUGGUUGGAGGGAAACUCUUUUGGGUCCUUGACGGUAUAACGUUGACCGGUGCUCAGUAGUUUUAGGAUUGGUCAAGUAUGGUACAAACAGUGCUCCUCUAAGUUCCCGAGUGAGGGAAGCUCAUCGGUUGGGGACUUGCAAGAUCCAAGUCAUUGAGUAAUCAUGAAACUUCUAAGUACUGAAGUGUGGUAUCAUUUUCACUUGCCUUAACCGUCUCAUACGUAGAUGUGGCAUCUUCUCUGGAAGUACUUUUCCUCAAUCCAGGGGUGGUAUCUUUAACCGAUGAAGAUGCACAAAGUAAUGUAUCAAUUUCACUUGAAGCUUACUUGUAGUUUCGGGCUUCAUCAAGUGCGAUACAAAACCUUAUAGUAGGAGUCCCCCAAGUCGCCGAGCUAGGAGAUUUGCCGAAAGAGGUAACAGACAAGGUAAGCAAUCAGACUUCCAAGCAAGCAACCUGGAUCGGAGGUUCAACUUCGGCUUCCGGUUGAUUGUUCUCAUUCUCCUUGUGUUGUAAACAGCAACAAGGAUAAGGAGAAGCAAAUGGAGAAAAGAUGAUAUGAAAUACUUUUGCUUUUGAAGAACUAACUUUCCACAAGUUUAUUCUUGAAUUGGGCUGGAGGGUUUUCUGGUUUCCUCCAGAGUAUAAGGCCGACUCAAGAAUUUAAAGGUCAAAACAAGUCCAUCAAAUUAAAAGUGUGUUCGACUUUGAUGAUAUGGGAUACUUUUGCUGUUGACGAAGUAAUAGAUGAAUCAGCAUGUGUUCUGUUGCGCUUGUCUCCACAUGCUUCCUUGUAUCCUUCUCACUUGCCCUAUCUGUUCCUCAGGCAGAUAUGGUAUCUUUUCUGGAAGCAUAAAAUGUUGAAGAUGAGUACUCGAGAGCAUUGCCAGGUCAGUAAUCAGGCAAGGGGUUAUAGGCAGUCAGUUCCUGACUGGAAGCUUGAUUCCAAGUGCUGACUGAUUGCUCUCUUUCUCCUUGUCUUGCCGGUAAGAACAAGGACAAAGGAAAAGAUAGGGAAAAAGCAUGAUAUGAGAUACUUUUGCUUUUGACCCUUAUAAUAUAAGAUACUCUUGCUCUAGUGUGGCUGGUUUGCAUAGGUAUUAUUGGGGGGAGAAGAAAGUUGAGUAUUUCGAGAGCCUUUGUUGGGAGUUCUUUCUCAAAUAUGAAGAAGGGUUGAGCAUUUUUGCAGGUCUGCCUGUCCAUGGAGGAUGGAGGUCGACAUAUAUAGGAGUCUCCCUAACAACAAGUAGUAAUGAUAUUCCUUUACCCUUCUUGGUCGUAGCAAUGUAGUGGGAGCUACAAGCUUCACAUGUUUUAACUUUGUCAGAGCACUUUGAAAAAGUGGUAUGUGGUAUCUGGAAAGCUGAUGUUGUGUGUGAAGAUUACAGACAAGCUUUAUCCAAGGAAAUUUGGUUCUCGAAUUUUGGAGAGCGAUGCCUCUUUGGUUUUCGAACAAGCAAUCCUGUCGGGGAUCUAGCUCUUGAGAUUUGGAGAACGGUGCCUCUUCAAUUUUUGAGAUAGCAAUCCUGUUAGGAGUCUAGCUCUUGAGAUUCGGAGAGCUGUGCCUCUUCGAUUUUUGAGAAAGUAAUCCUGUUGGGAGUUUGGCUUUCGAGAUUCGGAUGGCGGUGCCUCUUUGAUUUUUGAGCAAGUAAUAAUGAUAUUCCUUUACCUUUCUUGGUCAAAGCAAUGUAGUGGGAGCUGCAAGCUUCACAUGUUUUAACUUUGUCAGAGCACUUUGAAAAAGUGGUCUGUGGUAUCUGAAAAGCUGAUGUUGCGUGUAAAGAUUGCAGACAAGCUUUAUCCAAGGAAAUCUGGCUCUCGAAGUUCGGAGAGCGGUGCCUAUUCGGUUUUCGAACAAGUAAUCCUGUCGGGGAUCUGGCUCUCGAGAUUCAGAGAAUGGUGCCUCUUUGAUUUUUGAGAAAGCAAUCUUGUUGGGAGUCUGACUCUUGAGAUUCGGAUAGCAAUGUCUCUUCGAUUUUUGAGAAAGUAAUCCUGUUGGGAGUGUUUUCUCGAAUGUGAGUAAAGGUUGGGCAUUUUUGCAGUCUGCCUUGCCAUGGAGCACGGAGGUUGACACACAUUAGGACUUUCUAGUUAUGAAGCAGUGGUGUUGUUCCUUUACCCUUGUGGGUAAUAGUAGGGUAGCUGGACGUUCAAAAUUUAUGUGUCUAAAAUUUGUCAGAGAUCUUUGGCAAAGUUAUAUGUGGUACCCGAGGAGCUGAUGUCGCGUGUGGAAAGUGGUGCCUUUUCGAAAUCCGGAGAGUGGUGCCUCUUCGGAAUCCGGAGAGUGGUGCCUUUUCGAUUUUUGAAUCAACGGCCUUAUUGCCCUUUCUUUUACAAGGGCACCAAUUGUGUGCAAGGAGUACAUUCAGAGAGUUAUUGCUUGUAGGAAUUUUCCCCUUACUUCAGAGAUUUAUUGCACCUCAUUUCUCUUUCAUCAUUUCUGAGAAUGUCUGGCCUAUCCGACCGUCGUUUUGACUUGAACUUUGGUGAAGAGGCGGUCAUGUCUUCUCAAGACAACAUAUGGCGCCCAUCCUUCUUAUCCCCUACUGGUCAUCUUACUGUUGGGAAUUCUGUGAUGAAGAAUGAUAUGACCGCUGCGGUGGUGGCCAGGAACUUUCUCACUCCCAAAGAUAACAGACUACUUUCCAAACGGUCUGAUGAGUUGGCUGUUAAGGAUUAUCUUGCUCUCAGUGUUCAGUCUGCAGGUUCUGUGUCUAAUAUGGCCCAACACCUAUUUGCUAGAACCCGCCAAGUUGAAUCAUUGGCGGCUGAAAUGAUAAGUCUCAAACAGGAGAUCAGAUGGCUCAAGCAUGAGAAUAAACAGUUGCACAAGCUUGCACAUGACUAUGCUACAAACAUGAAGAGGAAGCUCGACCAGCUGCAGGAAUCUGAUGGUUAGAUUUUACUUGAUCAUCAGAGGUAUGUGGGUUUGUUCCAAAUGCAUUUAUUGCCUUCGUCUUUUGGGGCUGUACCGCGUAAUGAAGCUCCAAAUGAUCAACCUUCGGUGCCUCCUCCUUCUGGGGUUCUGCCUAGUACUGAAGCUCCGAAUAAUCACCCUCUGGUGCCUCCUCUUUUUGGGGCUCUGCCGACUGUUGAGACUUCUCCUGAGUAACCUUUGUGAAGGCUCCCUCUUGUUUAUUUAUUUUGAUUUAUGUAUAUGUACAUAUUUGUAACUUAUCGGAGAUAUCAAUAAACAAGCUUUGCUUCAUUUCAACGUAUUGUGUUAACUACACCAAGGCCUUAUUCACUAAGUUCUUUGAAUUUUUCCUUUUGUUGAAGCUUUGUGAGUGAAGCAUGUAGUUUGAGGUAGUGCUCCCUUAAUUUCCCGAGUGAGGAAAACUUCUCGUUUGGAGACUUGAAAAAUCCAAGUCACUGAGUGGUAUCAAGGUGCAGUAGCAUAUGGUAGAAAUCUCCUAGGUCUCUGGUCGAGGGAGUUAACGAAUGAAGCAUUUCCUUUCUAAGUGGUAGCCCAAAACUUCUUCUUCAUAUAUAUUUGUUAUGAAAGUUGUUAGGCCCAAAGAAGAGGAGGCCUAGGCAAAUUUUUUUUUUGAAUUUUUUUUUUCAAAUUUUCGAAUUUUUGAAUUUUCGAAAUUCCGAAAAUAUAUAUAUAUAUAUAUAUAUAUAUUUUAAAGUUUUGUAGAUGAAACUUUGUAGGUGAAGCUUUGAGGUUGAAGCUUUGUUGGGCACCAUGAAUUGAUUUUGCUUCACACUAUCUUGAUUAAGAUAGUGUGAAGCUUUUGUGUUAAAGCUUUGUAAGUGAAGCUUUUGUGGGUCAAACUUUUGUAGGUCAAUCUUUUGUGGGUCAAGCUUUUGUAAGUCAAGUUUUUGUGGGUCAAGCUUUUGUGGGUCAAGCUUUUGUGGGUGAAGCUUUUGUAGGUCAAGCUUUUGUGGGUGAAGCUUUUGUGGGUUAAACUUUUGUAGGUGAAGCUUUUGUGGGUGAAGCUUUUGUGGGUCAAGCUUUUGUGUUGAAGCUUUUGUAGGUUAAGCUUUGGAGUUGAAGCUUUGUAGGUGAAGCUUUGGAGUUGAAGCUUUUGUUGGGUACCAUGAAUUGAUUUUGCUUCACACUAUCUUGAUCAAGAUAGUGUGAAGCUUUUGAGAAUUUGUAGUUGUCCUCCAUUGAUGAAGCUUUUGUUGGUGAAGCUUUGGAGUUGAAGCUUUGUAGGUGAAGCUUUGGAGUUGAAGCUUUUGUUGGGCACCAUGAAUUGAUUUUGCUUCACACUAUCUUGAUCAAGAUAGUGUGAAGCUUUUGAGAAUUUGUUGUUAUCCUCCACUGAUGAAGCUUUUGUUGGUGAAGCUUUGGAGUUGAAGUUUUUGUUGGGUACCAUGAAUUGAUUUUGCUUCACACUAUCUUGAUCAAGAUAGUGUGAAGCUUUUGAGAAUUUGUAGUUGUCCUCCAUUGAUGAAGCUUUGUUGAAUUUCCCUUUUUUUUUUCUUUUUUUUUUGGAAAACUAGAAAUUUGAAAAUAUGGGAGAGACAACAUAUACAAAUUUUGAUUCCACACUGUUGAGCAAGAGAUUGUGAUGCAAGCCAUACCUUGUAGUAGUCGAAGGUUUGGAUGAACCAUAUAAAUUGAAUUUGCUUCGAAGGUCUGAGAAUUGUAGUUGCCCUCCAUUGAUGAAGCUUUUGUUGACACCAUAAAUUGGUUUUGCUUCACACUGUCUUGAUCAAAAGUGUGUGAAGCUUUUGAGAAUUGUGGUUGCCCUCCAUUAAUGAAGCUCUUGUAGGCACCAUAAAUUGGUUUUGCUUCACACUGUCUUGAUCAAGUGUGUGUGAAGCUUUUGAGAAUUGUGGUUGAACUACUUUGAUGAAGCUCUUGUUGGCACCAUAAAUUGGUUUUGCUUCACACUGUCUUGAUCAAUAGUGUGUGAAGCUUUUGAGAAUUGUGGUUGCCCUCCAUUGAUGAAGUUCUUAUUGGCACCAUAAAUUGGUUUUGCUUCACACUGUCUUGAUCAAGAGUGUGUGAAGCUUUUGAGAAUUGUGGUUGCCAUCUAUUGAUGAAGCUCUUGUUGGCACCAUAAAUUGGUUUUGCUUCACACUGUUUUAAUUAAGAAUGUGUGAAGCUUUUGAGAAUUGUGGUUGAACUCCUUUGAUGAAGCUCUUGUUGGCAUCAUAAAUUGGUUUUGCUUCACACUGUCUUGAUCAAGAGUGUGUGAAGCUUUUGAGAAUUGUGGUUGCCCUCCAUUGAUGAAGCUUUUGUGGGCACCAUAAAUUGGUUUUGCUUCACACUGUCUUGAUCAAGAGUGUGUGAAGCUUUCUACGAGUUGUAGUGUUUGCAUUGUUACAGAGGGGAAAUGUUUGAAGCAGAUGCAAGAGAGUUGAAUAGCUUGAUCUUCGUAUGCCAUGCACUGAAGUUGCUGUUGGCUUGCAAUAACACUUUGUUGGUUACUAUAACUCUUGUUGGGUAUAAGUAUUCCCCUAGUUGAGUUGUUAAGCUUGAGGGUUUUUUUUUUAUUAUUUGUGAAUGCUAGGAGUUCACAUGUACAAGUUGUACCACUCGUCUUCUGGUAGGUGGAAUGAAUGGUGAGUUGCUUUCAUCACUUGGUUGGUGGUACGAAUGUGAGUUCCUUCUUCCCCUGGUUGGUGGCAUAAAUGGCAAGUUGCCAAAUGAUAUUAAAGUACGGGUUGUACAUUUAAUCACCUAGUUGGUGGCAUGAAGAUGAGUUCCUUCUUCACCUGGUUGGUGUCAUGAGUGGCAAGUUGCCAAAUAAUAUUAGAGUACGGGUUGUACAUUUUAUCACCUGGUUGGUGGCAUGAAUGAGAGUACGAGUUGUACAUUUAAUCACCUGGUUGGUGGCAUGAAUGGCAAGUUGCCAAAUGAUAUUAGAGUACGGGUUGUACAUUUCAUCACCUGGUUGGUGGCAUGAAGGAGAGCACAAGUUGUACAUUUCAUCACCUAGUUGGUGACAUGAAGAUGAGUUCAUUCUUCACCUGGUUGGUGGCAUGAAUGGCAAGUUGUCAAAUAAUAUUAGAGUACGAGUUGUACAUUUCAUCACCUGGUUGGUGGCAUGAAGAAGAGUACGGGUUGUACAUUUCAUCACCUGGUUGGUGGCAUGAAGAUGAGUUCUUUCUUCAUAUUUAAUCACCUGGUUGGUGAGAAUAAGGGCAAUGUGUCUAGGCACAUUGUAGCAAGUGUCGAAUGACACAAAAUAUGUUGAACCCUUUCAAUACACAGUUGGCUUAUGUAUGAAUGUGUUGGAAUGUAUGAUUGAACGAAUAUACUGUGAAGCUGUUCGUUUAUUUAUAUAGUCUUGUUGACAUAUACUUAGACUUUGUUUCAUGUUGGAAGCAUUCAUGUUGAAGCUUUAAACUCGAGUGUUUCAUUGCUAGGAAUGUAAAAAGAUUAGGAUUAAGUUGUCUAAAUCACCUCUUUAUUGAAUUCAUGCCAAAUAGUCUUCGUUACAUAGGAUGCCGAACGGCUGAAGCUUAACACUUGUACAAUGUGAGUUUACUUGUAAUAGUACUUUAAGUGAUCAACGUUCCAUGGAUGGCCAAAGGUCUUGCCAUCGGAGCUUCUAAGCUUGUAGGAGCUAGGGCGACUGAUGCCAACAACUUCAAACGGUCCAUCCCAGUUUGGACUAAGUGUUCCUUCAUUUGGGACUCUGUCACGGAGUAAUCUUUUCUUCAAUACCCAGUCCUCCACUUUGAAAGAACGAGGUUUGACCCUUGAGUCAUAGUAGUUGGAUAUGCGCUGCUUGUAGGCGACAUUCCUCAAGUGAGCCUGGUUUCUGUGUUCCUCGACUAGAUCUAAGUUGAGGGUAAGUUGUUUGUCAUUUUCGCUUUGCACGUAGUUCUGGACUCGGAACGUUGCUUGCUUAAGCUCAACUGGGAUAACUGCCUCUGUACCAAAGGUAAGUGAGAAUGAAUUUUCUCCUGUUGAUGUUCGAUACGAAGUGCGGUAUGACCAAAGAACUUGGGGUAUAAAUUCUGGCCAACAACCUUUAGCCUUGUCCAAGUUAGUUUUCAAAGUUCGCUUGAUUAAUUUGUUGAUGGCUUCAACUUGUCCAUUAGACUAGGGAUGAGCUGGGGAGGCAAAACAUUAGUUGAUGUUGAACUUAGAGCAGAACAUCCUAAACUUAUUGUUGUCGAACUGUCGCCCGUUGUGAGUUAUUAUCGCAUUGGGAAUGCCGAAUUUGCAAAGGAUGUUCUUCCAUACGAAGUCUUCUAUUUUUGCUUCAGUAAUGGUUGCCAAGGGUUCUACUUCGGCCCACUUUGUGAAGUAGUCAACUGCAAUGAUUUCAUAGCGAACAUUGCCCUUCCCUGCAAGCAUUGGGCCGAUCAAAUCAAGUCCCUAUUGGGCGAAAGGCCAAAGGCUGAUCAUAGGAGUGAGUGGCUCGGGAGGGGAGUGAGGAAUAGUUGUGUAGCGUUGACACUUAUCAUAUGAGCGGGAUAUUCUGAUGGCAUCUUGGUGGAGUGUUGGCCAGUAAUAUCCUUGGCGAAAAGCCUUAUGUGCUAGGGAUCGAGAUCCAGCAUGAUCUCCGCAGACUCCUUCAUGUAUUUCCUAAAGGACAGUUUCCGCCUGUGCGGGCGUUAGGCAUCUUAGGUAUGGUAGGUUAAAACCCCGCUUGUAGAGUUGGUCACUAAUGAUCAAGUAACGGGUAGUCUUGUAUCGAAUCUGCUUAGCUUGGACUUUGUCAUUUGGAAGGGUGCCAUGAGUAAGGAAUCUAUAAAUCGGGGUAAUCCAAUUAUUUCCUUGUUGUAAGUUGCACACUUCCGCAGCCAUGGUGCUUGGUACUGCCAACAAUUUGACCUGAAUUUUUCUCUCAAUCUUGUCUUGCACCGUUAAGGCGAGACGAGCCAAAGCAUCUGCAUGAUUGUUUACCGCUCAAGGAAUUUGGGUGAUCUGGUAGUGGAAGUGCUUGAGCAACAAUUGUGUUUGUGCCAGAUAUGCUGCCAUGAAGCUAUCCUUAACGUCAAAGUUGUUGGUGACCUAGUUAACCACAAAUUAGGAGUCACUGAAGAUAUCAAUUCGUUUAACCCCAAGGUGUUUGGCCAAACGUAAGCCUGCUAGGAGGGCUUCAUAUUUGGCCUCAUUGUUCGACGCCUUGAAUUUGAAACGAAUAGCAUACUCCAUUGCCAUUUUGUCAGGGGUCGUAAGGACUAGUCCUGCUCUACAACCCUGUUGGUUGGACAAGCCAUCAACAUAUAAACUCAAUGUUUGGGCUGUUGGUUUUAUUUUCUGAGAUUCCAAGGGUAAUGAAACCACUUCUUUAGGCGUAGAAACAAUGUCAACAGGAUAUGUGAAGUCGGCGAUGAAGUCUGCCACUGCUUGGCCUUUCUCAGCUGGCUUUGGUUGGUAGGAGAUGUCAAACUCACCCAAUGCUGUCGCCCAUUUGAUCAUUUACCCGGAAGUGUCAGGACUUUGGAGUAUCUGUCGAAGAUGAUAAUUGGUAAGCACGAUGAUGGAGUGUGCUUGGAACUAAGGGCGAAGUUUUCGAGCAGACAUGACUAAUGCUAGAGCCAAUUUCUCAAUGCUGGAGUAUCGUGUCUCCGCAUCUUGUAAGGCUUUACUAGCGUAGUAGACAGGCCGUUUGACAUUACCAUCAUUUCGAAUGAGAAUGGAACUUACUGCUGAAGUCGAUAUCGACAAAUAGAUAAUGAGAGUGUCACCAACCUCAGGUUUGGAGAGCAAAGGGGCUUUACUCAUGUAGUCUUUGAGGUUCUUGAAUGCCUCAACACAUUCAUCAGUCCAUGUAAUGUAUUUCUUACUUUCCUUAAGUGCUUUGAAGAAAGGAGCACAUCUGUUGGUGGCUUUAGAGAUGAACCUAGUUAAGGCUACCACCUUACCAGUAAGGCUCUGAAUGUCUUUUGAAAUUACCGGUUCCUUCAUGUUAAGGAUUGCUUUGAUUUUCUCAGGAUUAGCCUCAAUGCAUUGUUGGCUUAUCAUGAAGCUUAAGAAUUUGCCAGAGCCUACGCCGAAGGCACAUUUGUUGGGGUUCAACCUCAUUCGAUACCUCUUCAGAAUGAUGAAAGUUUCAGAUAGGUUGGUGAUGUGUUGGUCAGCAAGUUUGCUCUUAACUAGCAUAUCAUCAACGUAAACUUCCAUGCUCUAUCUGUUCGGCGAACAUUGAAUUGACCAGUCUCUGAUAAGUCGCUCCUGCAAUUUUUAGGCCGAAGGGCAUGACUUUAUAGCAAUAUAGUCCCAUGUCAGUAGUGAAUGUUGUGUGUUCUUGGUCCGGAGGGUUCAUGAGGAUUUGGUUGUAUCUUGAGUAAGCAUCUAUGAAGCUCAGGAGUUCCUACCCUGCCGUAGAGUCUAUAAAUCUGUCUAUGAGAGGAAGAAGAAAGCUAUCAUUCGGGCAUCCUUUGUUUAGGUCGGUGUAAUCGACACACAUUCUCCAUAAGACCUUUUGGAGCAGGAGACUUUCCUUGGUCGGAUUCUUCUUAACAAGGACAACAUUUGCUACCCACGUUGGAUAAUUGACUUCGCGGACGAAGCCUAUGCCUUUGAGUUUUUCAACUUCUGCCUUCAUUGCCUCGUACCAUUCAGCAUCAUAAGAUCUUCGCUUCUGUCUCACUGGCUUGGUCUUGGGGUCAAUACUUAAGCGAUGACAGAUUAUAUCGGGAGAGAUGCCUGGCAUGUCCUCGUAUGACCAGGCGAAGACCUUAGUGUUCUCUUGCAAAAAAGAGAUCAAUGUUGUUUGUACCAUACUUAACCAAUCCCGAAACUACUGAGCACCGAUUAACGUUAUAUCGUCAAAGACCCAGAAGAGUUUCCCUCCAACCAGGAGGCCAAUCAUAGUGCGACACGUGUCGACAUCAGAAGCCAAUCAUAGCACGACACGUGUCAACAUCAGAAGCCAAUCACAACACGACAUGUGUCAAUGUCAGAAUAAAACUAGAAACUCUUUUCUAUAAAUAGAAAUCAUUCUAUCACAAUAUUUCUUAAUGUCAUUUGUACUAAAUCAUUCACUUGUACUCACUAAAGGAGAGCUUGAACCUAUGUACUUAUGUAAACCCUUCACAAUUAAUGAGAACUCCUCUACUCCGUGGACGUAGCCAAUCUGGGUGAACCACAUACAUCUUGUGUUUGCUUCCCUGUCUCUAUCCAUUUACAUACUUAUCCACACUAGUGACCGGAGCAAUCUAGCGAAGGUCACAAACUUAACACUUUCUGUUGUACCAAAGUCCUCAUUGAUUUUGUGCAUCAACAUUUGGCGCCGUCUAUGGGAACGACACUUAUUCCCACUCUCUUCAGCUUUGUCAAGCUGGUUUCCACCAUUCGUACACUCUUUUUUGAUCAAGCAUCCCUCUCCAACAUGGGGAGCGAAGGAAGCCACAGCACACAGAAUGACACCUCUCUUGCACCUAGUGCGAAGCAACGAAAGAAAGAAGGAAAUAGGGUUGCUCUUCAAGCUAAAGUCGAUGAGCUAGAAGCUCAGAACAACAAGAGAGCAAUGAAGAAUGAGGUCUUCUAGAAGCAGUAUGAGAAGCUCUUUGAGACGUUCCAUGAAACUAGGCAUAUUCAAACACGCGAGCUCGUUGCCCCUGUGGACAUCAACCAUCAUCUGGGUGCCCUCCAACACGGAGGGUCACAUUCCUUCGACAUGGGUAUCCCUGAUGAAGAACGAGCUAAUUAUCAAAACAUUGAUCAACAUGAGACAUCUCUCAACCCAGCUGCUUCGACCCGAAGCAGGAGAAGUGGAGGAAAACACCUCAUUGCACAAGGGUUGAAAAGAUCGAAAGAUGUUUAUCGUGACUACCGAGAUUUCCUAAAGCAACGUCGAGAGAAUCCCCUCCACAUAUGCUCAAAGAUCAAUGAUUCAAUGGUUCUUGAAAGACUCGGUCCCCUCCCAUGACCUAGGUUAGCUGCCAAUAUAGGGAAGGAACGACAGGUCCCAAAGGAACAUGACGGUACAGGGGACUCUGCGGUAUUCCGACAAACUUGCCCUAGAAGUCAGUACGGCGAGUCCAAGGAAAAAUCACACGCCUUUGCUCAAACUUUCCUACUUCCAAGAGGCGAUGAAGACUUAUGAAAGAAAAUACCAGUGGUACAUGAGUCCACUCAGGACCCCCUUGUCCUACAGCUCAUUGAGGAAGUAAACAAGUUGAAGGCAGAACGUCAGGCUGAGAUACCUGACUGGAACCAACCCAGGCCUUGCCCUCUCACAAGGAGGAUCCUCGACACCCCCUUCAAGCAAAGACAAAACAAAAGCUUGGUUUACAACUCUAUACUGGAAGGGAAGACCCAAUUGAACACCUUAACCUCUUUGAGUCCACCAUGGCAUAUCGGAUGUACACCGACGAAGAGCGAUGUUUUCUCUUCCCCUCCACUCUUUUUAGCGGAGCUCUAAACUGGUAUUGUCGUUUUCCACCUGAGACAGUAGACUCAUUUGAGAAACGAGGAAACUGUUUGUCUCUCAACACAUCUUUCAGACCGAUCGUUUGCAUUCUGCAGAUGACUUGUACACUAUUCGCCAGAAGCCGGACGAGUCACUACGAAAAUAUGCUGGUCGUUUCAACCAUGAGUAUUCUCGCUGCGCUGAGGCAGAUGACAAGACCGCCCAAAAGGCCUUCACAGCAGGCCUACGUGAUUGUUUCUUCAAGUACAUGAUCAAUGCCAACACUUGGAAGACUUACUCUGAGGUGAUGGCACAAGCUUACAACCAUGCCUCCGCCGAGGCAAGGACAUAUCAAGGGAAACCCCCCACAACCACCCCUUAUCAGCAAGUAGGGAGUGGAAGCCAGAUCCAACCAAAUGAGAAGACCUCGACCUUCCAAACGGCAGCGGUGCCUCUCCCUACCUUACUUAAUACUUUGCCAAGUCAACAGACAUAUCAAUCUUAGGGCAAAAGGAAAGAUUUCCAUCAUCACCAGUCUCAUUUUAGUAAAAGGAGUAAGGGACACUGCUACGAUAACCAAGGGUAUCACCAUGAUAAUCCUUGACCUCAGGCAGUCAACACAAUGGUUCAAGCACGUGUCAGGACAACCCCUACCCCGAGGUAUGAGGCAUACACACCUUUGAACGCCACAUGCGUGGCCAUUUACCCCACCAUAACACACCUGGUACCGAAGCCAAAGUCGAGGCACCCGGAUUACAAGCCCACAAAGAACACGGGCACGUUUUGCUGCUACCACGAGCAUAACGGCCAUGACGGCGAGAAGUAUAUCACCCUUCGUGAUCAUAUUGAAACUUUGGCACGUGAAGGAAAAAUUGAUCAAUUCCUCCUUCACCUUCAAAGAGGUAACCGUAACCAACGUCAGGUGAAUGUGAUAUAUUCCAUAAGUGGUGGCACACCCAUAUCUAAAUCUUCCAACAGGGCCAUGAAAAAUAGUGAACGAGCUUUAAGGUCUGGCCACCAAGUGUUUCAUGUGGAAGACAUCUGAGGAGGUAAGUAUCAAAAGCCUAACUGGGAUCCAAUAUGUUUCAACCCUGAGGAAGAAAAAGGUAUCAUCUACCCUCACAACGACCCACUGAUUGUGGAAGCUCACAUAGCUAACUUUGAAGUACGACGAAUCCUGGUAGACACGGGGGCUUCGGUCAAUAUCAUGUUUGCUGAAGCUUUCAGGGUACUUAAUGUAGUUGAACACUUGCUCGAUCGCUCAAUUUCCCCUCUAAUAAGCUUCUCUGGUGAUCAUGUUACAACACUUCGAUCAAGCAACAACACAUGCUUGUGCCCAAGGAAACCCUUUGUAUACAUGACCAAGUCAUAAAUACUAGCCUAGACGAAGCCAACUUGGAUCUUCACGGUGGCAAUAGUCAACCCGACGAUCCUCGAGUUGACUCUUUCACCUAGCAAGCACAACCCGCUGAAGAGUUGGAGAAGGUCUUUAUCUCAAAAGAUUAUCCGGAUCGCAUUGUGAAGAUUGGCACCACCUUGUCACCACCCAUUCGGUUGGCAUUGAUCUCGUUUUUGCAAGAGAACACUGAGGUCUUUACUUGGUCAUACGAGGACAUGCCAAGCAUCUCUCCCUAUAUCAUCUGUCAUCGCUUAAGUAUUGACCCCAAGACCAAGCCAGUGAGACAGAAGCGAAGAUCUUAUGACGCUGAACGGUACGAGGCAAUGAAGGUAAAAGUUGAAAAACUCAAAGGCAUAGGUUUCGUCCACGAAGUCAAUUAUCCAACGUGGGUAGCAAAUGUUGUCCUUGUUAAAAAGAAUCCGACCAAGGAAAGUCUCCUGCUCCAAAAGGUCAUGUGGAGAAUGUGUGUCGAUUACACCGACCUAAACAAAUGAUGGCCGAAGGAUAGCUUUUCUCUUCCUCUCAUAGAUAGACUUAUAGACUCCACGGCAGGGUGUGAACUUCUGAGCUUCAUGGAUGCUUACUCAAGAUACAACCAAAUCCUCAUGAACCCUCCAGACCAAGAACACACAACCUUCACUACUGACAGGAGACUAUAUUGCUAUAAAUUCAUGCCCUUCGGCCUAAAGAAUGCAUGAGCGACUUAUCAGAGACUGGUCAAUUCAAUGUUCGUCGAACAGAUUGGGAAGAGCAUGGAAGUUUACGUUGAUGAUAUGCUAGUCAAGAGCAAACAUGCUGACCAACACAUCACCAACCUAUCUGAAACUUUCAUCAUUCUGAAGAGGUAUCGAAUGAGGUUGAACCGCAACAAAUGUGCCUUUAGCGUAGGCUCUGGCAAAUUGUUAGGCUUCAUGAUAAGCCAACGAGGCAUUGAGGCUAAUAUCGAGAAGAUCAAAGCAAUCCUCAACAUGAAGGAACCGAUAACUUCAAAAGACAUCCAGAGUCUUACUGGUAAUAUGGCAGCCUUAACUAGGUUCAUCUCUAAGGCCACAGACAGAUGUGCUCCUUUCUUCAAAGCACUUAAGGGAAGUAAGAAGUACAUUACAUGGACUGAUGAAUGUGCUGAGGCAUUCAAGAACCUCAAAGACUAUAUGAGUAAAGCCCCUCUACUCUCCAAACCUGAGGUUGGUGACACUCUCAUUAUCUAUCUGUCGGUAUCGACUUCAACAGUAAGUUUCGUUCUCAUUAGAAAUGUUGGUAAUGUCGAACGACAUGUCUACUACGCUAGUAAGGCCUUACAAGAUGCGAAUACACGAUACUCCAACAUUGAGAAAUUGGCUCUAGUAUUGGUCAUGUCUGCUCGAAAACUUCGCCCUUACUUCCAAGCACACUCCAUCAUCAUGCUUACCAAUCAUCAUCUUCGACAGAUACUCCAAAGUCCUGACACUUCCGGGCAAAUGAUCAAAUGGGCGAUAGCAUUGGGUGAGUUUGAUAUUUCAUACCAACCAAAGCCAAUUAAGAAGGGCCAAGCAGUGGCAGACUUCAUCGCCAACUUCACAUAUCCUGUUGACAUUGUUUCUACGCCUAAAGAAGUAGUUUCAUUACCCUCGGAAGCUCAGAAAAUAGAACCAACAGCCCCAACAUGGAGUCUAUAUAUUGAUGGCUCAUCCAACCAACAAGGUUGUGGAGCAGGACUAGUCCUUACGACCCCUGACAAAGUGGCGAUGGAGUAUGCUCUUCAUUUCAAAUUCAAGGCGUCGAACAAUGAGGCCGAAUAUAAAGCCCUCCUAGCAAGCUUACGUUUGGCCAAACACCUUGGGGUUAAACGAAUUGAUAUCUUCAGUGACUCCCAAUUGGUGGUUAACCAUGUCACCAACAACUUUGACGCUAAGGAUAGCUCCAUGGCAGCCUAUCUGGCACAAACACAAUUGUUGCUCAAGCAUUUCCACUACCAGAUCACCCAAAUUCCUCGAGCGACAAACAGUCAUGCAGAUGCUUUGGCUCGCCUCGCCUCAACGGUGGAAGACAAGAUUGGGAGAAAAAUUCAGGUCGAAUUGUUGGCAGCACCAAGCACCAUGGCUGCGGAAGUGUGCAACUUACAACAGGGGGAUAGUUGGAUUACCUCGAUUUAUAGAUUCUUUGCUCAUGGCACCCUUCCAAAUGACAAAGUCCAAGCUAAGCAUAUUCGAUACAAGGCUACCCGUUACUUGAUCAUUAAUGACCAACUCUACAAGCGGGGUUUUAACCUACCAUACCUAAGAUGCCUUACGCCCGCAGAGGCGGAAACUGUCAUUCGGGAAAUACAUGAAUGAGUCUGUGGAGAUCAUGCUGGAUCUCGAUCUCUAGCACACAAGGCUUUUCGCCAAGGAUAUUACUGGCCAACACUCCACUAAGAUGCCAUCAGAAUAUCCCGCUCAUGUGAUAAGUGUCAACGCUACGCAACUAUUUCUCACUCCCCUCCCGAGCCGCUCACUCCUAUGAUCAGCCCUUGGCCCUUCGCCCAAUGGGAACUUGAUUUGAUCGGCCCAAUGCUUGCAGGGAAAGGCAAGGUUUGCUAUGCAAUCGUGCAGUUGACUACUUCACAAAGUGGGCCGAAGUAGAACCCUUGGCAACCAUUACUGGGGCAAAAAUAGAAGACUUCGUAUGGAAGAACAUCCUUUGCAGAUUCGACAUUCCCAAUGCGAUAGUCACUGACAACGGGCGAUAGUUCGACAACAAUAAGUUCAGAAUGUUCUGCUCUAAGUUCAACAUCAACUAAUGUUUUGCCUCCCCAGCUCAUCCCCAGUCUAAUAGACAAGUUGAAGCCAUCAACAAAUUAAUCAAGCGAACUUUGAAAACCAACUUGGCCAAGGCUAAAGGUUGUUGGCCAAAAUUUGUACCCCAAGUUCUUUGGUCAUACCGCACUUCGUAUUGGAUAUCAACGGGAGAAACUUUAUUCUCACUUGCCUUUGGUACAGAGGCAGUUGUCCCAGUUAAGCUUGAGCAAGCAACGUUCCGAGUCCAGAACUACGUGCAAAGCAAAAAUGACAAACAACUUACCCUCAACUUAGAUCUAGUCGAGGAACACAGAAACCAGGCUCACUUGAGGAAUGUCGCCUACAAGCAGCGCAUCUCCAACUACUAUGACUCAAGGGUCAAACCUCGUUCUUUCAAAGUGGGGGACUGGGUAUUGAAGAAAAGAUUACUCUGCGACAGAGUCCCGAGUGAAGGAACACUUAGUCCAAACUAGGAUGGACCGUUUGAAGUUGUUGGCAUCAGUCGCCCUAGUUCCUAAAAGCUUAAAAGCUCCGAUGGAAAAACCCUUAGCCAUCCAUGGAACGCUGAUCACUUGAAGUACUAUUACAAGUAAACUCACAUUGUACAAGUGUUAAGCAUCAGCCGUUUGGCAUCCUAUGUAACGAAGACUAUUUGGCAUGAAUUCAAUAAAGAGGUCAUUUAGAAAACUCGAUCCUAAUCCUCUUACAUUCUUAGCAAUGAAACACUCAGGUUCAAAGCUUCAACAUGAAUGCUUCCAACAUGAAACAAAGUUUAAGUAUAUGUCAACAAGACAAUACAAAUAAACAAACAGCUUCACAAUAUAUUUGUUCAAUCAUACAUUCCAACACAUUCAUACAUAAGUCAAUUGUGCUUUGAAAGAGUUCAACAUAUUUUGUGUCAUUCGACACUUGCUACAAUGUGCCUAGACACCUUGCCCUUAUUCUCACCAACCAGGUGAUGAAGUGUAUAGAAUGAACUCAUCUUCAUGCCACCAACCAGGUGAUGAAAUGUACAACCCGUACUCUCCUUCAUGCCACUAACCAAGUGAUGACAUGUAUAACCCGUACUCUAAUAUCAUUUGGCAAUUUACCACUCAUGCCAUCAACCAAGUGAUGAAAUGUACAACUCGUACUCUCCUUCAUGUCACCAACCAGGUGAUGACAUGUACAACCCGUACUCUAAUAUCAUUUGGCAACUUGCUACUCAUGCCACCAACCAGGUGAAGAAGGAACUUAUCUUCAUGCCACUAACCAGGUGAUGAAAUGUACAACCCGUACUCUCCUUCAUACCACCAACUAGGUGAGGAAAUGUACAACCCGUACUCUAAUAUCAUUUGGCAACUUGCCACUCAUGCCACCAACCAGGUGAAGAAGGAACUCAUCUUCAUGCCACUAACCAGGUGAUGAAAUGUACAACCCGUACUCUAAUAUCAUUUGGUAACUUGCCACUCAUUCCACUAACCAGGUGAAGAAGGAACUCAUCUUCAUGCCACCAACCAGGUGAUGAAAUGUACAACCUGUACUCUCCUUCAUGCCACCAACUAAGUGAUAAAAUGUACAACCCGUACUCUAAUAUCAUUUGGCAACUUGUCAUUCAUGCCACCAACCAGGAGACAAAGGAACUCACAUUUGUACCACCAACCAAGUGAUGAAAUUAACUAACCAUUCAUUCCACCUACCAGAAGACGAGUGGAACAACUUGUACAUGUGAACUCGUAGCAUUCAUAAAUAAUAAAAAACCCUCAAGCUUGACAACUCAACUAGAGGAGCACUUAUGCCCAACAAGAGUUAUAGUCACCAACAAAGUCUUAUUGUAAGCCAACAACAACUUCAGUAUAUGGCAUACGAAGAUCAAGCUAUUCAGCCCUCUUGCAUCUGCUUCAAACAUUUCCCCUAUGUAACAACGCAAACACUACAACUCGUAGAAAGCUUCACACACUCUUGAUCAAGACAGUAGGAAGCAAAACCAAUUUAUGGUCCCAACAAGAGCUUCAUCAAAAGAGUUCAACCACAAUUCUCAAAAGCUUCACACAUUCUUGAUCAAGACAGUGUGAAACAAAACAAAUUUAUGGUGCCAACAAGAGCUUCAUCAAUGCAGGGCAACUAUAAUUCUCAAAAGCUUCACACACUCUUGAUCAAGACAGUGUGAAGCAAAACCAAUUUAUGGUGCCAACAAGAGCUUCAUCAAUGGAGGGCAACCACAAUUCUCAAAAGCUUCACACACUCUUGAUCAAGACAGUGUGAAGCAAAACCAAUUUAUGGUGCUAACAAGAGCUUCAUCAAAAGAGUUCAACCACAAUUCUCAAAAGCUUCACACACUCUUGAUCAAGACAGUGUGAAACAAAACCAAUUUAUGGUGCCGACAAGAGCUUCAUCAAUGGAGGGUAACCACAAUUCUCAAAAGUUUCACACACUCUUCAUCAAGACAGUGUGAAGCAAAACCAAUUUAUGGUGCCAACAAGAGCUUCAUCAAUGGAUGACAACCACAAUUCUCAAAAGCUUCACACACUAUUGAUCAAGGCAGUGUGAAGCAAAACCAAUUUAUGGUGCCAACAAAAGCUUCAUCAAAGGAGUUCAACCACAAUUCUCAAAAGCUUCACACACUCUUGAUCAAGAUAGUGUGAAGCAAAACCAAUUUAUGGUGCCAAUAAGAGCUUCAUCAUUAGAGGGCAACCACAAUUCUCAAAAGCUUCACAUACUCUUAAUCAAGACAGUGUGAAGCAAAACCAAUUUUUUGUGUCAACAACAAGAGCUUCAUCAAUGGAGGGCAACCACAAUUCCCAAAAGCUUCACACACUUUUGAUCAAGACAAUGUGAAGCAAAACCAAUUUAUGGUGCCAACUUCACGCACUCUUGAUCAAGACAGUAUGAAGCAAACCCAAUUUAUGGUGCCAACAAGAGCUUCAUCAAUGCAGGGCAACCACAAUUCUCAAAAGCUUCACACACUCUUGAUCAAGACAAUGUGAAGCAAAACCAAUUUAUGGAGCCAACAAGAGCUUCAUCAAAGGAGUUCAACCACAAUUCUCAAAAGCUUCACACACUUUUGAUCAAGACAGUGUGAAGCAAAACCAAUUUAUGGUGCCAAUAAGAGCUUCAUCAAUGGAGGGCAACCACAAUUCUCAAAAGCUUCACACACUCUUGAUCAAGGGAGUGUGAAGCAAAACCAAUUUAUGGUGCCAACAAAAGCUUCAUCAAAGGAGUUCAACCACAAUUCUCAAAAGCUUCACACACUCUUGAUCAAGACAGUGUGAAGCAAAACCAAUUUAUGGUGCCAAUAAGAGCUUCAUCAAUGGAGGGCAACAACAAUUCUCAAAAGCUUCACACACUCUUGAUCAAGGGAGUGUGAAGCAAAACCAAUUUAUGGUGCCAACAAAAGCUUCAUCAAAGGAGUUCAACCACAAUUCUCAAAAGCUUCACACACUCUUGAUCAAGACAGUGUGAAGCAAAACCAAUUUAUGGUGCCCAUAAGAGUUUCAUCAAUAGAGGGCAACCACAAUUCUCAAAAGCUUCACACACUCUUAAUCAAGACAGUGUGAAGCAAAACCAAUUUAUGGUGCCAAUAAGAGCUUCAUCAAAGGAGUUCAACCACAAUUCUCAAAAGCUUCACACACUCUUGAUCAAGACAGUGUGAAGCAAAACCAAUUUAUGGUGCUGACAAGAGCUUCAUCAAUGGAGGGCAACCACAAUUCUCAAAAGCUUCACACACUCUUGAUCAAGACAGUGUGAAGCAAAACCAAUUUAUGGUGCCAACAAGAGCUUCAUCAAUGCAGGGCAACCACAAUUCUCAAAAGCUUCACACACUCUUGAUCAAGGCAGUGUGAAGCAAAACCAAUUUAUGGUGCCAACAAAAGCUUCAUCAAAGGAGUUCAACCACAAUUCACAAAAGCUUCACACACUCUUGAUCAAGACAGUGUGAAGCAAAACCAAUUUAUGGUGCCAAUAAGAGCUUCAUCAAUAGAGGGCAACCACAAUUCUCAAAAGCUUCACACACUCUUAAUCAAGACAGUGUGAAGCAAAACCAAUUUUUGGUGCCAACAACAAGAGCUUCAUCAAUGGAGGGCACUCACAAUUCCCAAAAGCUUCACACACUCUUGAUCAAGACAAUGUGAAGCAAAACCAAUUUAUGGUGCCAAUAAGGGCUUCAUCAAAGGAGUUCAACCACAACCGAAUGAGUGGUGACAAGAUGGUACCAAUCUUCACCAUGUGAUCCGGAUAAUCUUUUGAGAUAGAGACCUUUUCCAACUCUUCAGCGGGUUAUGCUUGUUGGGUGAAAGAGUCAUCUUGAGGAUCGUCCGGUUGACUGUUGCCACCGUAAAGAUCCAAGUUGGCUUCGUCUGGGCUGGUUUUUAUGACUUGGUCAUGUAUAGAAAGGGUUUCCUUAGGCACAUGCAGGUGAUGUUGCUUGACUGAAGUGUUGUAACAUGAUUGUGCACUAAGUUGAUCUCCUCUGAUGUAACCAUUGCCAUAGGGGGUUGGAAAUUUCAUCAACAACAUAUGUGUGGAUACCAUGGCCUUGAUAUCAUUGAUGCCUGUGCGUUCGAAGAUGAUAUUGUAUGCCGUUGGACAAUCAACCACCUGGAAGUUAAUGGUAAUGGUAGCUGUGUAAGGGCCUGUACCAAUGGUGAAAGGUAAGUGUAUGCUCCCCAAAGGUUGCACGAUAUCACCGGAGAAGCUUAUCAGAGGGGAAAUUGAGCGGUCGAGCAAGUGUUCAACUACAUUAAGUGCCCUGAAAGCUUCAGCAAACAUGAUAUUGACCGAAGCCCCCAUGUCUACCAGGAUUCGUCGUAUUUCAAAGUUGACUAUGUGAGCUUCCACGAUUAGUGGGUCUUUGUGACGGUAGAUGAUACCUCUUUCUUCCUCAGGGUAGAAACAUAUUAGAUCCCAGUUAGGCUUUUGAUACUUACCUCCCCUGAUGUCUUCCACGUGAAACACUUGGUGGCCAGACCUUAAAGCUCGUUCACUAGUUUUCAUGGCCCUGUUGGAAUAUUUAGAUAUGGGUGUGCCACCACUUAUGGAAUAUAUCACAUUCACCUGGCGUUGGUUACGGUUACCCCUUGAAAGGUGAAGGAGGAAUUGAUCAAUUUUUCCUUCACGUACCAAAGCUUCAAUAUGAUCACGAAGGGUGAUACACUUCUCACCGUCAUGGCCGUUAUGCUCGUGGUAGCAGCAAAACGUGUCGGUGUUCUUCGUGGGCUUGUAAUCCGGGUGCCUCGGCUUUGGCUUCGGUAUCAAGUGUGCUAUGCUGGGGUAAAUGGCCACGCAUGUGGUGUUCAAAGGUGUGUAUGCCUCAUACCUCGGGGUAGGGGUUGUCCUGACACGUGUUUGACCCACUGUGUUAACUACCUGGGGUUAGAGAUUAUCAUGGCGAUACCCUUGGUUAUCGCGGUAGUGUCCCUUACUCCUUUUACUAAAAUGAGACUGGUGAGGAUGGAAAUCUUUCCUUUUGCCCUGAGAUUGAUAUGUCUGUUGACUUGGCAAAGUAUUAAGUAAGGCAGGGGGAGGCACCGCUGCCAUUUAGAAGGUCGAGGUCUUCUCAUUUGGUUGGAUCUGGCUUCCACUCCCUACUUGCUGAUAAGGGGUGGUUGUGGGGGGUUUCCCUUGAUAUGUCAUUGCCUCGGCGGUGGCAUGGUUGUAAGCAUGUGCCAUCACCUCAGAGUAAGUCUUCCAAGUGUUGGCAUUGAUCAUGUACUUGAAGAAACAAUCACGUAGGCCUGCCGUGAAGGCCUUGAGGGCGGUCUUGUCAUCUGCUUCAGCGCAGCGAGAAUACUCAUGGCUGAAACGACCAGCAUACUCUCAUAGUGACUCGUUCGGCUUCUGGCGAAUAGUGUACAAGUCAUCUGCAGAAUGCAAGCGAUCGGUCUGGAAGAUGUGUUGAGUGGUAAACAGUUUCCUCAGUUCCUCAAAUGAGUCUACUGUCUCAGGUGGAAGACGGCAAUACCAGUUUAGAGCUCCGCCAGAGAGGGUGGAGGGGAAGAGAAGACAUCGCUCUUCGUCGGUGUGCAUCCGAUAUGCCAUGGUGGACUCAAAGAGGUUAAGGUGUUCAAUUGGGUCAUCUCUUCCAGUAUAGAAUUGUAAUCUAAGCUUUUGUUUUGUCUUCGCUUGAGGGAGGGUGUCGAGGAUCCUCCUUGUGAGAGGGUCAGGCCUGGGUUGGUUCCAGUCAGGUAUCUCGGCCUGACGUUCGGCCUUCAACUUGUUUACUUCCUCAAUGAGCUGUAGGACAAUGGGGUCUUGAGUGGAGUCAUAUACCACUGGAUUUUCUUUCGUAAGUCUCCAUCGCCUCUUGGAAGUAGGAAAGUUUGAGCAAGGGCGUGUGAUUUUUCCUUGGACUCGCCGUACUGACUUCUAGGGCGAGUCUGUCGGAAUACCUCAGAGUCUCAUGUACCUUCAUGUUCCUCUAGGACAUGUCAUUCCUUCGCUAGAUUGGCAGUGGCCUAGGUCGUGGGAGGGGACCGAAUCUUUCAGAAACCCUUGGGUCAUUGAUCUUCGAGCAUAUGUGGAGGGGAUUCUCUCGACGUUGUUGUAGGAAGUCUCGACAGUCAUGAUAAACGGCUUUCGAUCCUUCCACUUCUCCUGCUUCGGGUCGAAGUAGCUAAGUUGAGAGAAGUCUCAUGUUGAUCAAUGUUUUGAUGAUUAGCUCGCUCCUCAUCCGGGAUACCCAUGUCGAAGGAAUGUGACCCUCCGUGUUGGGGGGCACCCAGAUGAUGGUUGAUGUCCACAUGGGGAACAAGCUCGCGUGUUUGAGUACGCAUAGUUUCAUAGAGCGUCUCAAAGAGCUUCUCAUACUUCUCCUAGAGGACCUCAUUCUUCAUUGCUAUCUUGUUUUGAGCUUCUAUCUCAUCGACUAUAGCUUGAAGAGCAACCCUCUUUCUUUCCUUCUUUCGUUGAUUCACACUAGGUGCAAGAGGGGUGUCAUUCUGUGUGUUGUGGCUUCCUUCGCUCCCUAUGUUGGAGAGGGAUGCCUGGUCAAAAGAGAGUGUACGAAUGGUGGAAACCAGCUUGGCAAAGCUGAAGAGAGUGGGAAUAAGUGUCGUUUCCCACAAACGGCGCCAAAUGUUAAUGCACAAAAUCAGUGAGGACUUUGGUAUAACAUAAAGUGUUAAGUUUGUUACCUUCGCUAGAUUGCUCCGGUCACUAGUGUGGAUAAAUAUGUAAAUGGAUAGAGACAGGGAAGCAAACACAAGAUGUACGUGGUUCACCCAGAUUGGCUACGUCUACGGAGUAGAGGAGUUCUCAUUAAUUGUGAAGGGUUUACACAAGUACAUAGGUUCAAACUCUCCUUUAGUGAGUACUAGUGAAUGAUUUAGUACAAAUGACAUUAGGAAAUAUUGUGAAAGAAUGAUCUCUAUUUAUAUAAGAGAGUUUCUAGUUUCAUUCUGACAUUGACACGUGUCGUGUUAUGAUUGGCUUCUGAUGUUGACACGUGUCGCGCUAUGAUUGGCUUCUGAUGUCGACACUUGUCGCGCUGUGAUUGGCCUCUUGGUUGGAGGGAAGCUCUUUUGGGUCAUUGACGGUAUAACGUUGACCGGUGCUCAGUAGUUUCAGGAUUGAUCAAAUAUGGUACAAACAGAUGUCUUUGGCCGAAAGAUACUUACAUAUGACACCAUUAUUUAGCACACCAUAUAUAAUAUAUGUUUUAUGAAAGGUUUUAUGGCAUGCUAGGGUUUUCGAAAAACCUAUCACAUAUUAUGCUAUUAGUUUUCAUAAAACUUUGGGGGUUAGUACUUUUUGAAUAACUAUUUCAGUAUUAUAUAUAUCAACUUGGUUCAUUCAUGUUUGUUUUGCUCCCCCAUCAGGGUAUAGGAACGAGGCAUUCCCUUACUAGUGACAUCGUGUCAUCCUCUCUGCUUUGACAUCAUUGUAAUAGCACCUUCCGCUUGUAUUCUGAAUUAGAUGUAUGCUCUGAACAUGUCAUGCAUUAUCACUAUGUUUUCAAUGUUGGCAGUUGAAUAUUAUUAUAUUAUUUUAGUAGUUUGUAUUUAAUUAUUACAUUGCAGAGUUAUGCGUGAAAUUUAUAUGUAUGUUUCACAUGUUCUCGGCAUAUGCAUUCAUUAAAUGGCUUUCAUCACCCUCGGAUGUCGGCCAACACGUGACCAUCUCAAUGUUCCCUAGACAUUGGGAUCGGGGCAUGUCAGGCUCAGUGUCAAGAUAGAGCAUCAUUCAGAUGGAAUCUUAGUACAUCAAUCGAACUACACCUAGAAGGUGUUACGCCGCUUUAAUGAGGAUAAAAGGAAGCCUUCGAGUACUCAUAUGGUCGUUUGAUCACUAGAUGCAAAACGAGAUCCCUUCCGUCCGAAUGAGGAUGAUGAAAAGAUUUUAGAGCCUGAAGAUCCUUAUCUAAGUGCGAUAGGCGCUUUAUUGUACUUAGAUCAAUGCACUAGACCCGACAUCUCAUUCGCUGUUAAUCUUUUGGCAAGAUACAAUAAUGCAUCACCAUGCAGACACUGGACUGGUGUUAAAGAUAUUUUCCGCUACCUUAAGGGUACUACGGAUUUGGGCUUGUUUUAUCCUUAUGGAUCCUCGAGUGAUGCCGCACCCCUUUAUCUCGAGUCUAUUCUCGCCUUGUUGGUUAUGCCGACACAUGAUACUUAUCUAAUCCACACAAGGCGCGUUCUCAAAUGGGUUAUGUCUUUACCAUUGGAGGCACCACAAUCUCUUGGAGGUCAACUAAACAGAUCUUAGUUGCCACUUCAUCUAACCAUGCUGAAAUUCUCGCCUUACAUGAAGCAACUCAGGAAUGCUUUUAGUAGAGAGCAGUUGUGGGUUAUAUUCGAAGAUCUGUUGGUUAUGCCGACACAUGAUACUUAUCUAAUCCACACAAGGCGCGUUCUCAAACGGGUUAUGUCUUUACCGUUGGAGGCACCGCAAUCUCUUGGAGGUCAACUAAACAGAUUUUAGUUGCCACUUCGUCUAACCAUGCUGAAAUUCUCGCCUUACAUGAAGCAACUUAGGAAUGCUUUUAGUUGAGAGCAGUUGUGGGCUAUAUUCGAAGAUUUGUUGGUUAUGCCAACACAUGAUACUUAUCUAAUCCACACAAGGCGCGUUCUCAUACGGGUUAUGUCUUUACCAUUAGAGGCACCGCAAUCUCUUGGAGGUCAACUAAACAGAUCUUAGUUGCCACUUCGUCUAACCAUGCUGAAAUUCUUGCCUUACAUGAAGCAACUCAGGAAUGCUUUUAGUUGAGAGCAGUUGUGGGCUAUAUUCAAAGCUCCUGCGAUCUUUACCCCGUCGUUGACGUCUCGAUGACGAUCUAUAAAGACAAUGCAGUAUGCAUCGAACAGCUCAAGAAUGGUUACAUCAAAGGAGACAACAUCAAGCACAUUACGCCGAAGUUCUUCUUUUCACAUCAAUAACAAGAGCAUCAGAAGAUUGAAGUCACGUAAAUCCGUUCACGAAACAAUCUGGCUGACCUCUUCACCAAAUCACCAUCGAAUGUGACGUUUUAGAAGCUUGUUCAAGGAAUUGGCAUGCGUAAACUUUCUGAGUUGUAACAUUGCUAGUUAUCUUUAGAAUUGUGUCAAACUCAGAGGGAGUAUCCUGAUGUAUACUUGCUUUAUCUUAAUGUACUCUUUUUCUCUACGAUUAGGAGCAUUUUUCCCACUGGGUUUUUGCUACCUAACUAGGUUUUAACGAGGCACCCACAUUGGGUUGAUCAUAUCUUUGGUGACGUUCCGUAGACGUUUCAUUUGACUUUGCAUUACUCACGCAUUUUACCUUAUACUAUGGAUUUUGUCCCUACUCAGGUUUUUGCCAUAGCCAUAGGUUUUUUUGUGGGACUUACUUCCUUAUGCAUGCUCCCACCUUAUUGAGAAUAGCGUGUUCCUAGAAUCAGUGUCAACGAGUCGACUUCCUCAACCUCUACAUGAUGUUGAAUCUACUUGAGUAUUUACACACUCAAGGAGGAGUGUUGUAAACUUCUAUUUUAAGUGUGAUUGUGUAAAUCCUAGAUUAGAUUUGAUCCUAGUUAUUAUUUCCUAUGUGGACUUGUAUUCCUUAAAGCAAAAUGAUUUCUUCUCUCCCUUAUUACUAUAAAUAAAGGCACUACGUAGGGGAAAUAACACACAUAUUCAUCUACACAACCCUACAAACACAUCUUUCUCUAUUCUCUCUAUGUGCUGCCUGCCCCCUUCCCCUGUUAGUUAAAUAUAGGCCACAACAGAGUCUAAUUUUUUUAUUUUUUUUAAAGGGGACAAUUGGUGGUAAGUCACGAUUAUUCACCCUUUCUGGAAGCCGGGAAGACUCACAGAAACAUUUCAGCCUCUCAAUUUUUCACUUACAAGUAAAUGAUCAUAAGUUUUUAUUUUUUAUUUUUUUAACAAGACAUAUUUUUUGUUCAAAAAAAAAAAACAAACGAUUUGUUUUUUUUUUUUUUAGAACAAAUGAUAUUAUCAUAUUAUCUACAUUAAGUAGAGGGGUGAGCUUAACUUCAUAAUGAACUAGCAAUAAUGUGGUUCAAAUUCGUCUUUGGUAAGAAUCAAACCUAAGACCUCUCACUUACAAGUGAAGAAGAAUACUACUAGAUUAACAAACGAUAUAAUAUACAUUACAACAACAACAACAACAACAAAGCCUUUUCCCACUAAGUGGGGUCGGCUAUAUGAAUCCUAGAACGCCAUUGCACUCGGUUUUGUGUCAUGUCAUCCGUUAGAUCCAAGUACUCUAAGUCUUUUCUUAGAGUCUCUUCAAAAGUUUUCCUAGGUCUUCCUCUACCCCUUCGGCCCUGAACUUCUGUCCCGUAGUCACAUCUUCGAACCGGAGCGUCAGUCGGCCUUCUUUGCACAUGUCCAAAUCACCGGAGCCGAUUUUCUCUCAUCUUUCCUACAAUUUCGGCUACUCCUACUUUACCUCGGAUAUCCUCAUUCCCAAUCUUAUCCUUUCUCGUGUGCCCACACAUCCCACGAAGCAUCCUCAUCUCCGCUACACCCAUUUUGUGUACGUGUUGAUGCUUCACCGCCCAACAUUCUGUGCCAUACAACAUCGCUGGCCUUAUUGCCGUCCUAUAAAAUUUUCCCUUGAGCUUCAGUGGCCUACGACGGUCACACAACACGCCGGAUGCACGCUCUUACACUUCAUCCAUCCAGCUCGUAUUCUAUGGUUGAGAUUUCCAUCUAAUUCUCCGUUCUCUUGCAAGAUAGAUCCUAGGUAGCGAAAACGGUCGCUUUUUGUGAUCUUCGCUAGAUUGCUCCGGUCAUUAGUGUGGAUAAGUAUAUAAAUGGAUAGAGAUAGGAAAGCAAACACAAGAUGUACGUGGUUCACCCAGAUUGGCUACGUCCACGGAAUAGAAGAGUUCUCAUUAAUUGUGAAGGGUUUACACAAGUACAUAGGUUCAAGCUCUCCUUUAGUGAGUACAAGUGAAUGAUUUAGUACAAAUGACAUUAGGAAAUAUUGUGUGGAGAAUGAUCUCGUAAUCACGAAACUUCUAAGUAUCGGAGUGUGGUGUCGUCUUGACUUGCCUUAUCUGUCUCAUAGGUAGAUGUGGCAUCUUCUCUGGAAGUACUUUUCCUCCAUCCAGGGGUGGUAUCUUUAACUGGUGGAGAUGCACAAGGUAAUGUAUCAAUUUCACUUGAAGCUUACUUGUAGUUUCAGGCUUGGUCAAGCGCGAUACAAACCAUGUAGUAGGAGUCCCCCAAGUCGCCGAGCUAGGGGGUCUGCUGAAAGAGGUGACAGACAAGGUAAGCAAUCAGAGCUCCGACUGAUUGUUCACCUUCUCCCCAUCUUGCAACAGCAUGAAGGAUAAAGAGAAGAAAAAAAAUGAGAAGAGAUGAUAUGAGAUACUUUUGCUUUUGAAGAAGUAACUUUCCACAGGCUUAUUCUUGAACUGAGCUGGAGGGUUUUCUGGUUUCCUCCAGAGUAUAAGGCCGACUGAAGAAUUUGAGGGUCAAAACAAGUCCAUCAAAUCUAGAGUACGUUCCACCCUGCUGAUAUGGGAUACUUUUGCUUUUGACAGAGUAAUGGAUGUAUCGGCACGUGUGCUGUUACGCUUGUCUCCACAUGCUUCCUUGUAUCCUUCGCACUUGCCCUAUCUGUUCCUCAAGCAGAUGCGGAAUCUUCCCUGGAAACAUAAGAUGUUGAAGAUGAGUACUCGAGAGCAAUGCCAGGUAAGUAAUCAGGUAAGGGGUUCCAGGCAGUCAGUUCCUGGCUGGAAGCUUGAUUCCAAGUGCUGACUGAUUGCUCUCUUUCUCCUUGUCUUGCAGGUAAAAACAAGGCCAAAGGAAAAGACAGGGAAAAAGCAUGAUAUGGGAUACUCUUGCUUUUAACCCUGAUGAUAUGAGAUAUUCUUGCUCUAGUAUAGCUUGUUUGCAGAGGUAUUAUCGAGGGGAAAGAAAGCUGAAUAUUUUCGAAAGGCUUCGUUGGGAGUGCCCUCUCAGAUAUGAUGGAAGGGUUGAGCAUUUUUUGCAGGUCUGCCUGUCCGUUGGGGAUGGAAGGUCGACAUAUAUAGGAGUCUCCCUCCCUAACAACAAGUAGUAAUGCUAUUCCUUUACCCUGCUUGGUCAUAGCACGGUAGUGGGAGCUGCCAGCUUCACAUGUUUUAACUCUGUCAGAGCACUUUGAAAAAGUGGUCUGUGGUAUCUGGCUCUCGAGAUUCGGAGAACGAUGCCUCUUCGAUUUUUGAGAAAGCAAUCAUGCUGGGGGUCUGGCUCUCGAGAUUCGGAGAGCAGUGUCUCUUCGAUUUUUGAGGAAGUAAUCAUGUUGGGAGUCUGGCUCUCGAGAUUCGGAGGGCGGUGCCUCUUCGAUUUUGGAGCAAGCAAUCUUGUUGGGAGUGUUGUCUCGAAUUUGAGUAAAGGUUGGGCAUGUUUGCUAGUCUACCUUGCCACGAAGCACAAAGGUUGACACACAGGGACUUUCCAAUUAUCCAGCAAUGGUACUGUUCCUUUACCCUCUCUUCGAUUUUGAGAAAGUAGUCAUGUUGAGAGUCUGGCUCUCGAGAUUCGGAGGACGGUGCCUCUUCGAUUUUGGAGCAAGCAAUCUUGUUGGGAGUGUUUUCUCGAAUGUGAGUAAAGGUUGGGCAUGUUUGCUAGUCUACCUUGCCACGAAGCACAGAGGUUGACACACAGGGACUUUCCAAUUAUCCAGCAGUGAUACUGUUCUUUUACCCUUGUGGGUAAUAAUAUGGUAGCUAGACCUUCAAAAUUUAUGUGUCUAAACUUUGUUAGUGCUGUUUCUUUGCUAUUCUUUUACCUUUCUUGGUCAGAGCGAUGUAGUGGGAGCUGCAAGCUUCACGUGCUCAACUUUGGCAGAGAACUUUGGCAAAGUUAUCUGUGGUACCCAUGAACUAUUGUUGCGUGUGGGAAGUGGGUAAUUGAACAGUAAGAUUCAUGUGCUUUCUACUUCACCAGAAAUAUUCGACAGAAUGCCCAUAAUUUCUGCAAAGCUGAGUGUGCGUGUGACAGGUGCUGACAAGGCUAGAAAAGUAGGUGCCUCUUCGAUUUCUGAGAUCGGCCCUCGUGGUCUCUGGGCAGCCCAGCUUUUGAGAAAGCGAGCGCCUCUUCGAUUGAUUCGGAGAACGAUGCCUCAUCGAUUUUUGAGAAAGCAAUCAUGCUAGGGGUCUGGCUCUCGAAGAUUCGGGGAGCAGUGUCUCUUCGAUUUUUGAGAAAGUAAUCAUGUUGGGAGUCUGGCUCUCGAGAUUCGGAAGGCGGUGCCUCUUCGAUUUUGGAGCAAGCAAUCUUGUUGGGAGUGUUUUCUCGAAUGUGAGUAAAGGUUGGGCAUGUUUGCUAGUCUACCUUGCCACGAAGCACAGAGGUUGACACACAGGGACUUUCCAAUUAUUCCAGCAAUGGUACUGUUCCUUUACCCUCUCUUCGAUUUUUAAGAAAGUAGUCAUGUUGGGAGUCUGGCUCUCGAGAUUCGGAGGACGGUGCCUCUUCGAUUUUGGAGCAAGCAAUCUUAUUGGGAGUGUUUUCUCGAAUGUGAGUAAAGGUUGGGCAUGUUUGCUAGUCUACCUUGCCACGAAGCACAGAGGUUGACACACAGGGACUUUCCAAUUAUCCAGCAGUGGUACUGUUCCUUUACCCUUGUGGGUAAUAAUAUGGUAGCUAGACCUUCAAAAUUUAUGGGUCUAAACUUUGUUAGUGCUGUUUCUUUGCUAUUCUUUUACCCUUCUUGGUCAGAGCGAUGUAGUGGGAGCUGCAAGCUUCACGUGCUCAACUUUGGCAGAGAACUUUGGCAAAGUUAUCUGUGGUACCCAUGAGCUAUUGUUGCGUGUGGGAAGUGGGUGAUUGAACAGUAAGAUUCAUGUGUUUUCUACUUCCCCAGAAGUCUUCGACAGAAUGCCCAUAAUUUCCGCAAAGCUGAGUGUGCGUGUGACAGGUGCUGACAAGGCUGGAAAAGUAGGUGCCUCUUCGAUUUCUGAGAUCGGCCCUCGUGGUCUCUGGGGAGCCCAGCUUUUGAGAAAGCGAGCGCCUCUUCGAUUUCUGAGAUCGGCCUUCGUGGUCUUUGAGCAGCCCAACUUUUGAGAAAGCAAACGCCUCUUCGAUUUCUGAGAUCAACCCUCGUGAUCUCUAAGCAGCCCAGCUUUUGAGAAAAGCAAACGCCUCUUCGAUUUCUGAGCAGGCGCCUCUUCGAUUUCUGAAGCUCCGUCGAGUGCAGAUUUUUUAUAGGGGCUGGCAUUAAGUUCCAAAGCACACUUGAAUCUCCACCAGUAGAAGCUUCAUUCUUGCACUUCUAAGAUCUUGAUUUGUCCGACCUCUUCUCUCUUCAACACCUUUGAAAAUGUCUGGCCCCUCCGACCGUCGUUUUGACUUGAACCUUGUUGAAGAGGCAGCCCCGCCUUCUCCAGACAACAUAUGGCGCCCAUCCUUCGUCUCCCCUACUGGUCCUCUUACCGUUGGGGAUUCCGUGAUGAAGAAUGAUAUGACCGCUGCGGUGGUGGCCAGGAACCUUCUCACUCCCAAAGAUAACAGACUACUUUCCAAACGGUCUGAUGAGUUAGCUGUUAAGGAUUCGCUGGCUCUCAGUGUUCAGUGUGCAGGUUCUGUGUCUAAUAUGGCCCAACGCCUAUUUGCUCGAACCCGCCAAGUUGAAUCAUUGGCGGCUGAAGUGAUGAGUCUCAAACAGGAGAUUAGAGGGCUCAAGCAUGAGAAUAAACAGUUGCACCGGCUCGCACAUGACUAUGCUACAAACAUGAAGAGGAAGCUUGACCAGAUGAAGGAAACUGAUGGUCAGGUUUUACUUGAUCAUCAGAGAUUUGUGGGUUUGUUCCAAAGGCAUUUAUUGCCUUCGUCUUCUGGGGCUGUACCGCGUAAUGAAGCUCCAAAUGAUCAACCUCUGAUGCCUCCUCCUUCUAGGGUUCUGUCCAGUACUGAGGCUCCAAAUGAUCCCCCUCCGGUGCCUUCUCUUUCUGGGGCUCUACCGACUGCUGAGACUUCUCCUAAGCAACCUUUGUGAAGGCUCCCUCUUGUGUUGUUUAUUUUGACUCAUGUAUAUGUACAUAUUUGUAGCUUAUCGGGGAUAUCAAUAAAUAAGCUUUUCCUUCAUUUCAACGUAUUGUGUUAAAUACACCAAAGCCUUCUUCGCUAAGUUCUUUGAAUUUUCUUUUGUUGAAGCUUGUAUGUUGAAGCUUUCUGAGUGGAGCAUGUAGGUUGGGUAGUGUUCCCUUAAUUUCCCGAGUGAGGAAAACUUCUCGGUUGGAGACUUGGAAAAUCCAAGUCACUGAGUGGGAUCGGCUAUAUGAAUCUUAGAACGCCAUUGUGCUCGAUCCUGUGUCAUGUCCUUCGUUAGAUCCAAGUACUCUAAGUCUUUUCUUAGAGUCUCUUCCAAAGUUUUCCUAGGUCUUCCUCUACCCCUUCGGCCCUGAACCUCUGUCCCAUAGUCGCAUCUUCUAAUCGGAGCGUCAGUAGGCCUUCUUUGCACAUGUCCAAACCACCGUAACCGAUUUUCUCUCAUCUUUCCUUCAAUUUCGGCUACUCCUACUUUACCCCGGAUAUCCUCAUUCCUAAUCUUAUCCUUUCUCGUGUGCCCACACAUCCAACGAAGCAUCCUCAUCUCCGCUACACCCAUUUUGUGUACGUGUUGAUGUUUCACCGCCCAACAUUCUGUGCCAUACAGCAUCGCCGGCCUUAUUGCCGUCCUAUAAAAUUUUCCCUUGAGCUUCAGUGGCAUACGGCGGUCACACAACACGCCGGAUGCACUCUUCCACUUCAUCCAUCCAGCUUGUAUUCUAUGGUUGAGAUCUCCAUCUAAUUCUCCGUUCUUUUGCAAGAUAGAUCCUAGGUAACGAAAACGGUCGCUCUUUGGUAUUUCUUGAUCUCCGAUCCUCACCCCUAACUCGUUUUGGCCUCCAUUUGCACUGAACUUGCACUCCAUAUAUUCUGUCUUUGAUCGGCUUAGGCGAAGACCUUUAGAUUCCAACACUUCUCUCCAAAGGUUAAGCUUUGCAUUUACCCCUUCCUGAGUUUCAUCUAUCAACACUAUAUCGUCUGCGAAAAGCAUACACCAAGGAAUAUCAUCUUGAAUAUGUCCUGUUAACUCAUCCAUUACCAACGCAAAAAGGUAAGGACUUAAGGAUGAGCCUUGAUGUAAUCCUACAGUUAUGGGAAAGCUUUCGGUUUGUCCUUCAUGAGUUCUUACGGCAGUCUUUGCUCCUUCAUACAUAUCCUUUAUAGCUUGGAUAUAUGCUACUCGUACUCCUUUCUUCUCUAAAAUCCUCCAAAGAAUGUCUCUUGGGACCCUAUCAUACGCUUUUUCCAAAUCUAUAAAGACCAUGUGUAAAUCCUUUUUCCCAUCUCUAUAUCUUUUCCAUCAAUCUUCGUAAGAGAUAGAUUGCCUCCAUGGUUGAGCGCCCUGGCAUGAACCCGAAUUGGUUGUCCGAAACCCGUGUCUCUUGCCUCAAUCUAUGCUCAAUGACUCUCUCCCAGAGCUUCAUUGUAUGACUCAUUAGCUUAAUACCCCUAUAGUUCAUGCAAUUUUGUACGUCGCCCUUAUUCUUGUAGAUAGGCACCAAAGUGCUCGUUCGCCACUCAUUUGGCAUCUUCUUCGUUUUCAAAAUCCUAUUGAAAAGGUCAGUGAGCCAUGUUAUACCUGUCUCUCCCAAAAGUUUCCACACUUCGAUUGGUAUAUCGUCUGGGCCUAUUGCUUUUUUAUGCUUCAUCUUCUUCAAAGCUACAACCAUUUCUUCCUUCCGGAUUCGACGAUAAAAAGAGUAGUUUCUACACUCUUCUGAGUUACUCAACUCCCCUAAAGAAGCACUCAUUUCAUGUCCUUCAUUGAAAAGAUUAUGAAAAUAACCUCUCCAUCUGUCUUUAACCGCGUUCUCUGUAGCAAGAACCUUUCCAUCCUCAUCCUUGAUGCACCUCACUUGGUUUAGGUCCCUUUGUCUUCUUUUCCCUUGCUCUAGAUAGUUUAUAGAUAUCCAACUCUCCUUCUUUGGUAUCUAGUCGUUUAUACAUAUCGUCGUAAGCCGCUAACUUAGCUUCUCUGACAGCUUUCUUCGCCUCUUGCUUCGCUUUUCUAUACCUUUCACCAUUUUCAUCGGUCCUCUCCUUGUAUAAGGCUUUACAACAUUCCUUCUUAGCCUUCACCUUUGUUUGUACCUCCUCAUUCCACCACCAAGAUUCCUUUUGGUGUGGGGCAAAGCCCUUGGACUCUCCUAAUACCUCUUUUGCUACUUUUCGGAUACAACUAGCCAUGGAAUCCCACAUUUGGCUAGCUUCCCCCUCUCUAUCCCACACACAUUGGGUGAUUACCUUCUCUUUGAAAAUGGCUUGUUUUUCUUCUUUUAGAUUCCACCAUCUAGUCCUUGGGCACUUCCAAGUCUUGUUCUUUUGUCUUACUCUUUUGAUAUGUACAUCCAUCACCAACAAGCGAUGUUGAUUAGCCACGCUCUCUCCUGGUAUAACUUUGCAAUCCUUACAAGUUAUACGAUCCCCUUUCCUCAUUAGAAGAAAAUCUAUUUGUGUUUUUGACGACCCACUCUUGUAGGUGAUCACAUGUUCUUCUCUCUUCUUAAAGAAGGUGUUGGCUAAGAAGAGAUCAUAUGCCAUUGCAAAAUCCAAGAUAGCUUCCCCAUCCUCGUUUCUCUCCCCCAAAACCAUGGCCACCAUGAAAACCUCCAUAGUUGCCUGUCUCCCUGCCCACGUGUCCAUUUAAAUCUCCUCCUAUAAAUAACUUCUCCGUCUGAGCAAUUCCUUGCACCAAGUCUCCAAGAUCUUCCCAAAAUUUCUCCUUCGAACUCGUAUCCAACCCUACUUGAGGUGCGUACGCACUAAUCACAUUGAUAAGUUCUUGUCCUAUUACAAUCUUGAUUGCCAUGAUUCUAUCUCCUACCCUCUUGACAUCUACAACAUCUUGUACCAAGGUCUUGUCCACGAUGAUUGCCAACACCGUUUCUCGUUCUAUUUGUGCCCGAAUACCAAAGUUUAAACCCUGAGUUUUCUAGAUCCUUUGCCUUACUACCAACCCACUUAGUUUCUUGUAGGCACAUAAUAUUUAUCCUUCUCCUCACCAUAACUUCCACUACUUCCAUAGAUUUUCCCGUUAAGGUUCCUAUAUUCCACGUUCCUAAACGCAUUUUGCUCUCUUGAACUCUACCCUUCUGUCCUAGCUUCUUCACCCUCCCCCGUCUAAUAGGAUCAAAGUACUUCUUUUGUGUGUCCCGGGUAAAGUUGAUAGGAGCAUAUGCUCCCAAACAACUUUGAGUGGAGUCGUUCGAAAAGAAGUUUCUAUGGCCCCCUUGCUCAUUUAACACUGCAUCCGGGUGCCGAUGGAGAUACAGCGACCCUUGCUCACUUAUCACUGUGCUCAGGCCACACAGCGCGCCACUUACGGGUGACGCCCUAGCUUUAGCGCGAUUUUGUUCUGGAUUCAUUUUCAUAAGGAUUCGACGUGAUCAUGGAGUGCCGGCUGUCGACUACCUGACGCCCUCCCCCUCCUCCUUUAUCCGGGCUUGGGACCGACCAUGUAAGACAUAGGCGGAGUUAAACGAUAUUAUAUACAUUAGUAUAAAAUUAUUUAUUAAUUUGAUUUUUGAACAAAAAAAAAAUCUCCUUGAUCUUGCCUCAUUUUUAUGUAUAUAUAUAUGUGCACAUUCACUUCUCAAUUCCCACUACGAAUUCACCAAAAAUCCCUUCUCCAACUUUCAUCACCCUCCGGCUCAUAAACCAAAACCCCUUCUCUUCCAAAAGUAAGGUGUUCAGGAAUAUUUGGGAAUAAUGUGGGUGGCGGUGUUGAUGGUUUCGUUUCUUGUGAUAUAUUGCACUCAAUGGUUUUACAGAUGGAGGACUCCAGGAGCCAAGGGCAAUGGAGUUCUUCCUCCUGGUUCCAUGGGCCUCCCUUUCCUUGGAGAAACCCUUUCUUUGCUCAUUCCUAGCUACUCCCUCGACCUCCACCCCUUCGUCAGGAAAAGAAUUCAAAGGUAUCUAUUCCACAAUUUAGUAAGCUACGCACGUUUGCACUGUGUGGAGUUUUAUCUCAAAAGUCUAAGUUGUACAAUUUAAAAUGUAUGAUCAGUCGUAUGUUUUUGUUAAUUUUCUCGUAUAUAUUGUUUUUAUUUUUCCAGAUAUGGACCGAUAUUUCGAACAAGUUUUAUCGGGCGGCGUGUUGUUGUCUCGGCAGAUCCCGAAAUCAACAGUUACCUCUUCUCACAAGAAGGGAAGUUAGUUGAACUGUGGUACCUGGACACAUUCAACAAGCUCUUAUCAUUAGAAGGCGAAAAUCGGAUAACUGGACCUGGCCUAAUUCACAAGUAUAUGAGAAGCAGUCUUCGGAAUCACUUGUCUCCGGAGGCCCUCAAGGAAAAGCUUCCUCAGCUAGUAGCAUGGAUCGACAAAACCCUACUCCACUGGUGUACCAAGCCUUCUGUUGAAAUCAAGCAUGCUGUUUCCGCUGUAUAUAUACAUUUCUGUCACUUCAUUUCUUUGCUCUUUAAAUUUUAAUUAACUGUACUUAUAUAAUAUGUGAUUAACUUGUGUAAUUCUGCAGAUGGUUCUUGAAUUUACUGCAAGAUUUUUGUGCGGUUAUGAUGUUGAUAAAGCGCCUGUCGAUAUAAGCGAAAAAAUUGCUACACUCACCAAGGGUCUUACCUCAUUGCCCUUGAACAUCCCUGGUACUGCAUUCCACAAAUGCUUAAAGGUAAUCUGUCAUUGAUCCAUUCUUUUUAAAUCUAAAAGAAUUUCAUGGAAUCUAUUAGAUUUGAGAUGCACAGAGAUAAGCGGAUAACGUUGUCAUGAAGCACUCAACUUUCGCGUUUUUAAGAUUAUAAACCAUUGAAAUUGAAGUGCAAAUCGCAAACUGGGAGUGUGAAUAUAACAACUGCAUAGCUAGACUAAUGAUUCUCGAUCGGUCUCAUGAUUUGCAGGACCAAGAGAAAGUAAUUACGAUGAUUACGAACAUGCUAAAGGAGAGGCGUGCUAAGGAGGCAGAAGAAGAGAAAGAGGAAGAUUUCCUUGAUCAAGCGAUUAAAGACUUAAGAACGGAGAACUACUUAACCGAGGACUUCAUUGUGCGUCUGCUGUACGGGUUCUUAUUUGCUAGCUUUGAGUCCAUUGGGACUGUAAUGUGCCUCGGUUUCAAACUACUAGCUGAGCAUCCUGAAGUAAUGGAGGAACUAGCUGUACGUACUUCUUAACCUGUGCAUUCAACGUACACUUGGUCCUUUUUGAGCAAGCAAUCUCUUUCUUUUGCAAUGAUGUCGAUCGAUAUGUAAGUAACAGAGUUGUGUUUGAUAGGCUGAGCAUGAGGCAAUUCUCAAAAACCGAGCGGAUUCAGAUUCUUCACUCACCUGGGAAGAUUACAAAUCUCUGACUUUCACUCCUCAUGUAAGUAACUUUUUGUUACGCCCUCAUGUUCAUUUCAUAUUGGGUAAAUUACAUUUUACUUGAGGUAUUGUUGGGGGAGAGGAGGGACAGGGAGGAGGAAGCCAUUGGAGAGGUGGAGGGAGAAGUGGGUCUGGGGUUGCUGAGAGGUGAGGGGGAAGGAAGGGAUCUGGGUGUGGGUUUUUUUUAUUAUUUUAUUUAAUAAAUAGGGUAAAUUAUUAUAAUAUUUUUAAUGUAUAAAAAAUUAUUUGUUUUGUCACGCGGCACAAAUUUGUCAGUCACGUGGCACAAAUAUGGUAGCCACGUUAACUCUUAAUGGACCAAUGAAUGUAAAACGUAACGGAUGUAUUAUAUAGAAAUAAAAUAGUACAUGAGGUAUGAAAGUGAAAUGCUUUGAAGAUGUUGUAUGAUGUUGCAAUAGACCUCAAGCCUGAGGUAGUAAAGUGUAAUUUACCAUUUCUUAUUUUUAUUUGUUUACAUGCCCGGAUAUUGACAUAUAACUCCUCACUUUGGUUAAUAAGAUUUAAAAUGGAUAAAAGUGACCCUGAAAUUGUCCACCGUCAAUCAUUUUGGUCAUUCUAUGAUAAAUCUUCGAUUGAACAAAAAAAUUUCACAAAAAAACCAAAAUAAUUGACGAUGGACAAUCAAAAGAACAACUUCUAUCUAUUUUAAAUCUCAAUGACAAUAAUGAGUAGUUAUAUCAAUCUCAGGAAUCAUUUUGACUAAAAAAAUCCUUUUGUGAGUUAUUCAACUGUAGGUGGUGAGUGAAAUUCUGAGAUUGACCAAUAAUCCUCCGGGACUCCUACGAAGAGCAAUCAAGGAUAUCGAAAUAAAGGGUAUGCAUAUGCAGGAAUGCAUCAGAUUAUGCUAAUUAGUGAACUGCUUAAGUUAAUCCGGGGGUUAAUUGGACAAUGUGUAGGAUAUACAAUCCCAGCCGACUGGACGAUCAUGGUGGUUAAUUCUACUCUACAUCUGGACCCUGUCAUGUACAAAGAUCCGCUUGCUUUUAACCCAUGGCGCUGGAAGGAUCUCGAUUCGUACACGGUGGCUAAGAAUUUUACGCCGUUUGGAGGAGGAUCGAGACAAUGUGCAGGGGCAGAGUAUUCUAAAGUGGUGCUUGCCACCUUUCUUCAUGUUGUGGUCUCCAAAUACAGGUGAGAUAAGUACAUUUCAGAUGUUAUUACUUGUAAUUUCAGCGGCGUCUCCAAACACAGAGAACUAAAUAAAAUCAAGUAACUUGUAUUGUAUGUGUGUAUGGGUAUAUAGGUGGACAAUAAUCAAGGGAGGACGAAUUGCUCGACGGCCUCUGAUAGCAUUUGGAGAUGGCAUCCACAUUCGAUUCUCACAAAAGUGAUACGAAGAGGCAUGCAGGCAGCCGCAGGCGUCUCAAUCGAUCCAAUGCGUAUUACAACAAUAUUAUAUUUUAAUUUUCCUACAACGAAUCCAUCCAUGUUGAUGUAAGUAGCGAGUACGUACAAUAUGGAUGCAGAGUAGUAAAUAAAUUAGACCAAAAGGGAUUGUUCUUGGCUGGUUUGGUUGAUGUUUGCAAUAGUAUGUCCUUAACGCUCUGUGUAUAUAAUAUGACAGUUGAAAUGUCAAUAAAUAAAUAAAUGAAAUAUUCUAAUAAAUAUGUGUUUGGUAACACAUUGAUCACCACUUCAUUACUAGAUUUCAAAGUGAGAGGUCGAGUGAAGUAAGAUGAUUUGUAACUUAGUUAUUUCAAAGCAUUUUCUUUUGCACCCAAGAUUUCACGUUGAAUCCUGCUUUCUUUCCUGUAUUAUUGUUUGUAUAAAAACAAAACAAAAUAACAAGUUUGUAUGAAAGCCCAAGCCCGCGGACAAAAAGGAAAAAUAAAUGAAAAUAAAAUGACACCAACUUUGUCCCUUCAAGGCCAGAAAGGGAAUUUCCUUAUGAAAAGAUCAAUUGUGUUAAGGAAGAUUUGUAGCUGCAGCUGCGGUGAAUUGUCAGUGAGGUCGGUACACAUAAUGGUAAAUCAUAUGUUAUUAUAUAAAUAGUAAGAUAUGUGUGUUAAAAAUUUAAUACCUUAAAAAAUAAAAUUUCUUCAAACUUAUAUAAAAAAUAUGUGAUGUACCAUUCAUGCUCCGAUCACAGUUAAAAAAAUUUCUAGGCUAUUUCUCUAAGUUUCAAACUUGAAAAGAAGAAAGAAAGAAAAUACGGUUGAACGAAAAGGCGCCCUCCCCCAUUGCGUUUAAAUUAACCCACCACUCUCUCUCCUUUUCUUCUGUGCUGUGCUGUUAGAGAGAGAGAGGGGUCUAGGUUUAAGGAUCGGUUGAAGAUGAUAGUAAGAACUCCCCCGACGAAGAAGCAACGGGCGGCGGCGCCGGAGGCGGAGACCCCACCGCCUGCCCCAGGCCCUGGCCCUCUCGUCAUCUUCGAGGACGACCCUCCUCCUCCUUCUUCUUCCCUUCCACCUCCCGAUUCCUCCUCCCACCACUUGCUCUGCACCUAUCAAUGCCGCCAAAUGGUAUUAAUGCUUCCCUCUCUUCUCUCUCUCGCCAGUGCCGCCCAAUUGCCUUUCAAUCCAUAACAUAUGAAUCGAUUAUAUGAUUGUUUGCUGAUAAUCUAUGAUAUUUAAUGUAAUUGAUUCAUCCAAUUUUCCAUAGCUGUAUUUGAGUAUUUCAUUCUGGCAGCUAAAUCUAGUAUAUACGAGUCCUAUUGGCCGGAAGCUUUUUUCAAAUGUGGAUUUAGGACGAUCAUCUGUGUUUUGUUUCUCUUGCUUGUAGACCUUACUGCAGUGUAUUCCUCUUUUAUUGCAUAUUUAUUGCUAAGAGGAACCCUUUUCCCUUCCUUUGGCACAGGUUAAAUCAGACUUUAUAGACGCCUUGAGCAACACGGAGAAGCAAGCUUCUGAUUAUCAAUCUAAAUUGGCAGCUUUAAAUGAGAAAUUUUGCAAAGUUGGUGGGUUCUUUGAAUUUGAUUUUCCACUACAUUGCUCAGCAUUGCUCUUUCCCCUUCAGUUUGUCAAUUUUUUUUCAUAAUUGUGGUUCUCACAGUCACAGUUCAAUGCUCUAUUUCUGUUCGCUUCUUGCAGGCUGAAUAGGAAUUGCAAAGUCUUCGUUUCCAAACUCACUGUUAUUGUUGCACAAAUAUUCGAAAAAAACAUUUCUUUACUUUAUUGGAUCAACUAAUGGUGUAAUAUGGUGGUAUCAUAACUAUGUAAAGAUUUCCGUAUCAACAAGUGACAAACUGAAUCAAUUUUAAAUUUUAUUAUUUUGAUCAGAGUAUGUCUUCAUGUAGGGACAGGCUGUCUUAGCCUAAAUUUUCUUAUGUUGUGGGUUUCGUUUAGCAAAAUGAACAUGUGGUGUAGUGGGUUAUGGUUGUAAAGAAAGAAGUUCACGGUUUGUAGAACAACUUAAGCUUCAAAAGAAGAAUGAAAGACAAAUAAAGAUGGUAAAACAAGGAAACUGGUUGAAGCAGCAGAAAUACUUUGUGAUUUGAAACUGUGCAGGAGGCUAUUUGAGUGCUAAAAUUUGUAGGAAAUACUUGUGGAUUUGUAUGAUUUUAAUUUGGUAAGAAAAAGGAUUAGGACUGCAAAGAAUGAGAAAGUGCGGCUUAAGCGAACUUGGGGUUUAAAAGAAGCUUCAGAGAAUGAAGUUUAAGGGUUGAAGAAGACCUUGGUGUUUCGUUUGGGUCAACAAAGAACACCUUUGAAAGAAGAAUGAAAUAUAAGGAAAGAAAACCGGUUCUAGGAAUACUUGGAUUUUAGGCUUUCAUGGGAUAUGUUUAAGAUUUCAAUUGAGUAUGACAAAGCAAAGGGGCUAGAACUGCAAAGUGCGAAGAAAACACAGCUAAAUCUUUUGGGAACAACAGAAGUUCAAGAAAAUCUUAUCCUUGUAUCAUAGUUGGGAAUCUUUUGUUUCCUUUGUUUCAGUCUUAUUUUUUAAGAGUAGGAUGCAUAUAAUCUAUCAAACCCUUUCCUUCCAUACUGAGGAUAGAAUAGACAAUAUUGGAACUAGUAGGCAAGCAUGGAUGACUAACUUAAGAGUAGAGAAAAGUCCUGGACUCAUUGACGUUACUAGAACACCAUAUAAUUAUGGGCUGGACUUUGUUAGUUCCAUAUCCCCCCCCCCCCCAAAGUGCCACUACAUCUUAAACUGAAAUUCAAUUUCUGAUUUAUUCCUAGGCUCCUAGUAACUUGAACCUAAUAUGAUAUGAGACUUGUCUUCGAUUUGUGUUGUGAGCCAUUUAUGUUAAAAAUCACUGAUACCCCAGAUUGCAAAGUCGAAAAUAACGAACCAUAAAACAGCAAGAUAGUUUCUUUCUUGUUUGCAACUGCUUUAUCAUGUAUGCACAUGAAUUUAUUUCAUAGCAUUGGUAAGAUAAGUUCUUUUCCUUAAUAUCAGAAUUCUUUUGUUAUUUGCAAAGCUAACCAUCUGGAAACUCUUUAGAUUAUCCAUUUUUUGUUUGUGUCCCUCAUUAGUUACAUGUGCUGCAGAAUCUGAGAGGAAGAAAUAUCUGGAUCAAUUUUUGUAUGUGGAACAAGAACUUGCUGCUGCAAAGGGACGUGAACAGGCUCUGCAGGAGCAGCUUUUGAAGGAGUUACACGAUUCUCAUGAAAGAUUGACUAAACAAUUACAAUCAAACAGCGAACUUGAGGUAUAUGUAUGCUUGAACCUUUAUCCAUGAUGGGUACUUCAUCCACCAUUUGGUUGUCCCAAAAGAAUGAUUCAGCUGUUCUCUCUGUUUUUCUUCCUAGUUUUAUUUUGUUCCCUGUUUGGAAUUCCAAACGGGUUUUUUUCCUGUCCCACUCAGCAUAUCACAUUUCAAAUAUCAGGUGAAGCUUCAAAAUGAAAUGAACCUUCGCAUGAAAGCUGAGUCUUCAGCAGCUUUGGCUGAGGAGAAAGCAAGUGAUGUAGAGGGGAAACUGAGACAUCUUUCUGAAAACAUAGAGAGGGAAAAAAAGCGUCUCAAUAACGAUUUUUCCCAGCUGAAAGGAGAAUCCAAGCUUUCUGUUUCUAGAAUAACAGCAGAUGUGAGUGGUGGUUUUGAUUGAUUUAGUUUUAUAGUCUGUAUGAAGUUAUGAACAUGCCAUUCAACCUUCCCCAUUCUUGUUUAGCUUGAACGAAUGGAAUGCAGAUCUCAUAAUGCUGAGAAAGAAUCAGAGCUAUUGAAAAAGCAGCUGGAUGAUAUUAAGAAACAACUUAGCGAGGUAGAUCUCUUAUUUCUAUCGCUCCUAGACACCAGUUGAUAUGUUCUGUGGAAUAUCUUUCUCAUAUAUACAUCAUCGCCUGUCUGUUUGCAAUGCCAACUGCAGUUUUACCUUUUCCUUUAUAAUUUAUUUGUUUGUUGGGUCAGCUUGGCCUUGAUAUUGAAUUGUCAUUUUGUAUAAUAUUAGGAUUUGUCUUAUACUUACACGAGUUGAUCAAAUUUUCUUUUAAUUCAUCUUUAUUUUUCAGUGCGUGCAACAAAAAAGCGAAGUGGAGAAGAAACUGUCAAGUUUUACAUUUCAAGAAGUUGAAUCCACGGAGAAUAAUAUUCUUGUUAAACAUCUGCAAGAAGAGCUUAGAACUUUGUAAGUUUUCGUUGUUAAUUUUUUUUUUCUAAUGAAUAAAAUUGUUUCUUCCUAUUGAAUCCUCAGGUUCUCUAUGAAGUUGAUUGAUGAUCAUUCUUAAAUACUUUUCCAUUAAGUUUUUCACAAAAAUUUUCAGCUUCUCGAAAGUUUAAUUUUUGGUUUGGACUUAAGUUCAUAAAAUUCUAAACAUUAGUGAUUAGGCAGCCAAUCUGUCUGUAUAUGUUGAAUGGUUCAUACUUAGUCAAUGCAUUGUUUGUUUGGUAAUGUGAUUUGGCCAUUUGGCCUAGGGUUAAGGAGUAUAUUGUUAUGCUGGCUGUGGUAAUUUGAGUUUUGGCUCAUCAACCUUUUAUAUUUUCAUCAUAGAUUUUGUAUUUUUAGAGAAGAUGAAGAAGGAUAAAACAAAAGUUUAUCAUUUGGAAUAAAAGAAAUUGUACUGAACAAAAAGAAUUUUAAAUACUUUGGUGGAGAAUAUUUGUCUUGUGCUGUUGGGAUCUUUGGUUUCAAUUUUGAAUGGAUUUUGGGAAGCUCUCGUUUGAAAGAGAGUUGGGUAUGACUGAUUUCAUCUUUUGUAGAUGUGUACGAAUAUCUUUUUCUUGACUAUUAUAUGACAAGCUACUGUUUCUAAAUUCCUAGGAUGCUGAAGUGAGGGAAGCAAGAAAGCUGAAGUUGGCUCAUGAAAAUGUUGAGUUAUUGAAGGAAAAAUUGUUGGAAGAAAAGGGCCGCAGAGAGAGGGCAGAGGCAGAGUUAUCCAAACUACAAGAAUUACAACUUAGUAUGAAGAAGUUGGAGAAUGAAUUGACAACUUGGAAGUUGAUGAGUAAAGACAUUCCAGGCGUGUCAUGUUCUGAGGAUAUACCUGUUAAAUUUGCAGCUUUACAAAAGUAUGGGAAUAGUUCAUUUCAGUACUUUGAACCAGCAUGGUUAGAUUGUUUAGGAGAAUUAAUAAACUCAUAAAUCAUAGACCUAAAUAGUGAGGCUUUCCUUGAUGCUUCUUAUUCUUCUUCUUCCAUUAUUUUUUGUUAUCUGUUUAUUUUUGUUAAGGCGGCCAGAAUUGCCCUAGUGUGACUUUGUUAUUAGUUGAUUAAAAUUGAAUGUCUGGUACAACAUCAAUGAUACUGGAAUUUAUAUGUGGAUAACUUCCCAGCAAUCCAGCGGAGCUGAAUAUUUUAAACAUUUAAAACUAAAUGUUACAACUGUGUAUAUUGUAUUGCAUGGGUAUGACUCUUUUGUUUAGACCCUAGAAUAACUGUACCUGCUAUAUACAUUUCUUAGGAAGUAGAUGAUUUCUGGUACUAUGUGAUGUAUGCAUAACAUGAUACUAUGGAUAAUUGUUUGAGUAGGAAAACUUCAUAGUAGAUGGUCUAGAAUGAGCUGGUACCGUGUGCUUAAUUUCAGUGAUUGGAAAUCUUCAAAUCAUAUCUGGACUUCUUUCAGUGUUCUGGUUUUCACCUCAUGACACCAUGUCUGUUUGUUUGUUUGGUGUUUGGAACAAUCGCAGAACGUUCAAAUGGCCCUGUCAACUUUGUAUAUUAAUUGUGGUGUGGUGUUUGGGGGUGGGGGGAGAGGUUAGGACUGAGAAUUUUUCUAUUCUUUUUCUUAUAGUUAUGCUUGAUCUGUUAACGUGCGUUUCAAGUUUGUGUAGUUGUAGUGUUUAUAUGUACUGUCUAUGUUAUCAACAAGUUCUGUCCUCAUCAUCCCCACCAAACAGUGCAAAAUAAAUUUUCUUAUUUGUUAUUUAAUCUGAGAUUUGUUUGUGCAAGAUGUUUUUUGGUCCCCAGUGAUGGACAGUUUUUUCAUUUAAUGCAGAGAGGUAAUUGAUAGCAUGAUGAAAGUGGGUGAGGCUAAUGCUGCCUUGAAACAACUGGAGGUAGCUCUAGAUGCUGCAAAAAUUGAUAAACAAAAUGCUGAAAUAGAGGCUAACCUGGCGAAAGAGAAGGUGGAUGUAUCAAAAUCAGAGGUUAAGCGGAUUGAAUUAAUGGUAAGCGUGUGACCAGGUAGUUUUACUUUUAUGCCAUCUUUUUCUUAUUUUUUUAGUUUUUCACUCAGGCUGUUGCUAAGCUUAUUCUGUAUUCUCCAGCUGCUGUACAAUCCCUCAAAGUUUCUGCUCCGGAAGCUUUAAUUAAAUUUUUUAUUUUUGCGGGUUGUUGGGCCUGGUGUCAAUGUAGGGUUAUAAUUGUAGUGUUUAUCUAGAUUCUAGAAUGAAGAGAAAAUUGGGGUAAAUUGAACCAAUUCAUAAUAAUUUCAAUCAACAUGCCUGAAGAUUGAACCCUAUAAUUGUAGGGUCUCUUUAUAUAGACAAUUUGAUGGGUCAUAAUAUGACAGGAAACUGUAAUAAUUAGAUUUUAAAUGAUUUAUAAUUAACACCUACAUUUCUAUUGUAAAAAGUAAUACUGAAUAUAAUAAGCGUAAUUGAUAUGCUUAUGCCUCUAUUGAUCAAAAGCUCUAACAUUCCAUUUUUCGUACAAGUCAGUCCCAAAAGAAAGUUGAGAAAAACUAUACUAAUUAUCUUUUAAGAAUGUAUGCUGAAGGAAGUAUUAAAAUGCAGCUCUCUAUGGUUACUGAGGAAAGGGAUAAGUUGAGAAAUGUCCUUAAUGGACUGAAGUUGGUAAAGAAUGAUGAAGCUGGAGAUGAAGCAGCCAGUCAAACUUUUCUUCAGGUCACAGAAUUUCUUCUCUUUACUAUUUCUAAUUCAAGGAAUCUCUGUUUAAGUUCAUUGUUUGGUUUCCUCGUUUGCACAUGCAGGAGGUUGAAUCAUCACUUGCAAAGAAAGAGGCCUAUAUUAAAGAAUUGGAAUGUGGUCUGUGUGAACAAAAAGAAGUUAAUAGUCGUCAACGUGAAGAAAUAAAGUUGCUUAAUGAGAGGUUGAACAAUGAAGCUAGAAGAAUGAAGUCAUUGGAGAGGGAGAGCGAUCGACUUCGUUCAGAGAUCGCUCUGCUGGAGUCCAAGGUGGGUGCCAAAUUUAUUCGGAGCAUUAUUGGUAUGAACAUUAUUAUCUUAAUUUUUCUUGGCAAUUAAAGGAGCACUGCCGGGUUUGAAUGGUGGCUGAGCCUUGAACUUUUGUGGACUAUGGCACCAAGCUCUUCCCUUAGGAAAAUAUCAUUAUUUAUACUUCCCUGCAGAUUCUUUUUUCAUGCAAUGAGAAUCCUAUCUUACAAAUAUUUAAGGAAUUGAAAGAUUUGUCCAAGAAAACUAUUGUCAGAUAUGUAAUGGCUCUCUUGUGCUAACUGGCCGAUCCCAAAAGGAACUGCAGUUGCAGACAAGCAAUCUAAACCCUGCCAGAUGAACAGAAAAAAGUGCAAUUCGAUUACGUAAUUUCUGAGAUCUUUUGGUUCCACAGAUUGGUCAUGGCGAUUUCUCUGCUGCAAAUACUAAAGUUUUAAGAAUGGUGAAUACUCUUGCGGCUGAUAAUGAAGCAAAACAAACUAUUGAGGCAUUACAAACUGAGUUACAGAAGACAAAGGAGAAGUUACAGGCUGUGGAAGAAUUGAAAAGUCAAUCAGGUAAGAACCACAGUUCUUUUAAAGAGAAAUUUAUGUGAAAAAACUUCUUUAUAAGGUUCCUGUCUUAGAAAUGAAUGGUUAAGAGCAUUAUAUUGUUGUCUCGGAUUUGCUCUGGCUGUGCAUGGAUGACAGUCUUAGAUGAGUUUGGGGAUUAAAAUAAGUUUUAAAUUGUCAUAUUACUAAAGUACGCUGUUCCAAAAACUAAAUAAUUGAUUUGGAUUCUAGGAGUGGCUUUAACAUGGUACUUUAGGUCCAAAGAUCCCCCAUUAACUGAUACCAUAAUAAUAUAUAUGGCUUUCAAGUUGCUGCCACAACUACCAAAUUAACCCCACCACCAGCAAUACCUUGAUUGCCACGACUGUCCUCAUCUACCUCCAUUGUUACCAUUGCUAUUAUUGUCACCCUCGUCGGCACCUUUGUUGGCGUAAAUUGUGGACAGCACCAUACUUGCUCCAUAAAAGUGUGUUCUAAUUUACCUCAAGAAGGUAUAACUUAACGUAGAAAUUAGAAGAUAUUACAUUGUUGUUAUCUUUUGACUAUUUAAGUCAGAUGUUUGUUUGUCUCAUCAUGCAAUUUUGUACUGCGUUUAUUUACAUUGCUUCAUUCUCUUGAACUUUUCAGGUGAUGCUGGAACAUCGGUGGAUUCCUACAUAUCUGGGAAGAUAGUGCAGUUGAAAGAACAAAUUGCAACUCUGGAAAAACGUGAAGAAAGGUGAGUGACUGAUGGAUAUUGUUAAUAUAAGCUAACUUUGGUAUACAUUGCUGUACCUAUUUUUAACCUAAGGUUUUAAGAAAACUUGGCAUAUUCCAGUCUUGGGGUUCCCCACUUUUGCUAAUUUAUUCGGUUUAUUAGAUGUAAGAAGAUUGCAUUAGAUUUAAGUUAUUGGGUGGGCUUAUUGUGAGAGGAGGCAGCUCUUCUAUAUAUAUAUGUUUUGAUGUCCUUUUCAUUGUAUGUUCACAGUUUACCUAAACUAUAAUACAACUUUUAGGUUAAACAUUUGAAUUUACCCCUGUAACAGGUACAAGACUGUUUUUGCCGACCGAAUUUCAGUGUUCAGGAGGGCAUGUUGUGAGCUCUUUGGUUACAAGGUAUAUCAUAGAUGUUGCUCAUUUUACUUUAAUUUUCAUAUGACUAGUAUUCCAGUUAACAUGGCAUUCCAGCUAACAUGGUGAGGAAUCAUUAUAAUAUUCGGAGCUGAAAGGGUCUUAUAUAUAAGGUGCAUUUAUCUCAAUAUAUCUUCAUUACCAUGCGUAUGAAACUGAUUUAUUCAUGUCACAGAUUAAUCCAUCUGUUCUUGUUAGAUGCAUUGAUAUUAGUAUGCAUUCAAAAUAAAUGCCAAAGUAGUUAAAACUUGAAACUACUAAUAUCAUUGCUAAGGUAAAAACUUUGUAGUGUUCAAAGUUCCAUCUUUUGCUAAGUUCUAUUAACAGGUUUAAAGUUCAUUCUUAUGUCUAUAUGCUUUACUAACACUGAGAAUCAAUCAUAUAAAGUUUAAGUUAUUAAACAUGUUGAAUUAAUAAGUUGUCUCUGUUUACAUUUGCUAUAAUAUGAUCUAGUUUGAGAGCAUAAAUAGUUGAGAUCAUGAGAUUUAUUACCAAUUUUUCAUGGCCAAUUGUUUAUCUUACUUAAGUGUCAUUCCUAGGCAGAUUUGAGACCUGCAUGGGCCAUUGUGAAACUGUAACGGUUAUCUUUUGAUUACAAUUUUGCAGAUUGUGAUGGAUGAACACCAGCGUCCCAAUGGAAUCCCCAUUACACGUUUUACCCUCCAAUCUAUAUAUGCGCAAAGUGAUGAUGAGAAGCUUGAAUUUGAAUAUGAAUCAGGGAGCACAAACAUUUUGGUAAGAUCGUAUUAUAUGAAGUCAUUUUCUUAUGCCUUCUUAAAGCUAUUGUGGUCCUUCAGAUUUCAGUUAGGAAACACAGCAGGCAUAUUUUUUGGGGACAUCUCAAUUUUCUCUUUGUUAUUGUUUUUGAGUUCGUAAUAAAACAAAUGCAGGAAGAAAUAUAAUCAUAUUAUUGUUUGAUUGAACAGGCAAAUGAUUACACCUCGCAGUCUGAGAUAUCUCAACAGGUAUGGAGCAUGAUGUUUUUCUAAUCUUAGAACUUUUUUUUUGCAUGCUUCUGUACUGGUAGGACUAUUGUUGCUUCGUCUCUGGGUGAUCCAACCUGUACCAGAUUAUUUGAGGAUUCAAUUAGGGAAACUCUAUUCCGUAUAUGUCCAUGAUUCAUAUUUCAUAUGAUCUGACAGAUGGUUUCAGCCGUAGUUGUACUUAUUAUGUUCGGUGUCCAGGUUUAGUUUCCCUGUUUCCUUUUAUUUUGCUUUUACUUUCUUUCAUUCCCUUUAUUUCAGAGGGGAGCAAACUAACCUUUUGUUUUGAUUUCGUGAGGAAUGUUAAUAUGGUACUCAAGAGUCGGAUGUUUCUUCAGGGACUUAAGUUUAAAUCUUUCAUCGUGAUAUGUGGUUGUGAACUAUUGGAGUUACCUUGUCAACUAAUCUGAGAUAACAUUUUGCAGGUUGAGAUAUUUAUUCGGAAGUUGAAUUCAAUCCCAGCUUUCACUGCCAACUUAACAGUGGAGUCUUUCAACCGGCGAACCCUGACUUAAAAGCAAUUCAACCUUGAUUUCUACUACAGAUGAAUCACCAAGAUUGUAUAUUUCACGUAUCAUGUUUGAAACACAAAAUGUGUAGCAGGUAUGCCAUCUAUCUAGGUUUGUCUUUUCUUUGGGUACUGUGAACUAUCAAAUAUUUAACCCUCUCGCAGAAUCCGUUUAAUGGUAGAUUUGAUCCUUAUUCAUUCAAUUUGUACUAAAAUUGUGAGUUUGUAAGAGAAGUUAGUGUGACGUGCCUUACUCCGUAUAUUUGUACGGUAUUCCUGAGGAAUAUUUCACACUAAAUGAAAUUGAGAUAAGCGAAGCUAAUAGUAGUGAAUGUGCAUUUGAAUUACUUGGCAGAGAAAAUGAUUUAGAAUCCGAGGUGAUGUAGCAAGAUUCUUGUGAUCCAUAGGAAGUGGCCACUCUUAUCUUCUGAUGCAUCAUUUUGUUCAAGAAACUCGUGGACUAGGGUGGCGGGGGAUGUGAUGGUGAUGGUGGUGGUGGUGGGCAGAGACGGUCGGCGGGAUUGAUGGUGACAGUGGUGGUAUUGGUAAUGGUGGUGGGUGUGUGUUCAUGGUUUUUCCUUAAAAUCCGCUUAGUGUUUACUGAGAUUUUGGACGUCAAGGGUUGAUAGAGACCAACUAAAGUCCCUAAACGAUGCCAAUUUGGUAUCAUCUCUCUAUCAGGAUUUCACCACCUUUAAAUGGCAUGAAGUUCACUGAAAAAGAAUACCAAACCUAAAAUUUUAA